rnacentral:lncRNA from 1 species
AUACUCAAAUCCGUCUCAUGAAGUCUGAAUUGUGAUUAUCGUUGGGGGACGCCUCAAUGUCAAAAUCCAAUCCAUAUAGAGAUCUCUACAAGUAUUACACUAGUGUACACGAGGACGUGAGAUAAUGAGUCUACUAUCGAACCACCCUUCGUUGAUGGAUAUCAACUUAGUUGAUUGGCCUAAUGGAAAGAUACGAUCCAGCAUUAACAAAGAGAUAGGUCCUUGGGCAGGUGAUGCCGACACCGCAAGCUAAACCCUAUCAACUAUGCCUUUGUUAGAUAGCGUAGUAAGAGUAAGAGCUUAGACUCACCUUAUGGCGCAAGGUAUUUCACUAACACGCACUGGGAUCAACUACGAUGAGAUAUGCUCUCGUAAUGGAUGUCAUUGAACUCCACUACUUUGUCAGUUUGGUAGUUUCCGAAUAACUGAACAUGUAGCCUAUGAAUGUGGUCAUAAUAACAUCUCUAUGGGAUCAGAGAUAUACAUGAAGAUCUUAAACGGACUUCAUUCAUCCGAAUCAAGUGGCUCCAAACCACAGGAGCAUGCGUUUGCUAAAUGUAUUGAAACGCAUAUGGACUCUACUUAAUUUGGAAGGGAUAUGGUGAAUUAUGCCUUUGCGUGUUCAUUCCGGAUUUACAUGGACUCUUGAUGGAUCAAGAGAUGUCAAUAUGUAUCAACAUCCGAAGAAAAAGAUCUUGGGAAGACAUGGUCUCGAUAAGGCACUCGAUGACUGUAUUGAUGAUGAUUUUCCAUCAAUCGGCUUAGGCGCUCUAUAACUAGUGAGGCUUACAUAUACUCCCAUGAUUAGUCAAGGUCUUUGCUCUAAAGAGAGAUCCGUUGUUUUGUCUAAAGCAAGAUGACAAAUAUGUGUUAAGAGAUGGAGUUCCCAUCUAAGUACAAUAAGACGCAUCAAUGUACUCAACACAAUACGAAAGACUUGACAUCUCAUUCGCUAUGAAAAGUUGUAAAGCUAAGUGUAGCUAUGCACCCACACAACGCCAAUGUAAUGGCAGUAACUCCUUUUUCAAUACUUAAUGGUAUGAAAGGUUGACGCUUAUUCUAUCCCUACAUAAGAAAGACACAUCAAAAGCGAAAUCAGAAUCUGCCAAGUUUUGUAGGUCAACUUCCACGAGACCUAUAGGAAAUCUCACUCACUGGAAAAUGGUGAAAUUGAUACCAUUGGAAAGGUCUAUGUGUCUACUUUCCAGGGACACCAACCAUUUGAUCAUACCUAUCAUAUUGAGUGAGUUAUGGCCGUUUUCGUAAAGUAGGACGAAUCUGUCCGAGAAUCUGAUUUUAGCAAAACAGUCAACUUCGACCGAAUGUUGUGAAUAGCUCCUGAGGAACCAGAACGUGUGUAAUAUACGGUUGGAAAGAUAAAUGAGUCUAGUUUCCAAAACCGUUUACGGUUCGUUCAUAUGUAUUUCCUAGAGAAAGUUACGACUGUUCUAGUAAUUGAAGGUCAUGCUGCGCGGAAAUCUGAUUUCCUGCACGAACUUAUGUUUGAGUUCACAAGCAACCCUCUUCUCAAGAUCUAAGUGUAAAAGAUCAUUUGAGGACAAUACGGCAUGAUUUAGUUAAUCAUUGCCCAAUACCACAUUUGAAGACAUGUUAAAAAGCAUUGACAUGCUAAGUUGUUGAAACUUCCGUGAUUAGUAAGAAUCAGGAAGAGCCCUAUGAUUGAUGUAAAGAUCAGGGGGAGGUGCGAACUUCAGGGGGAGUCUAGCACAUACAUACAUGUCACUAUCAAAUGUGAAGGGUGCGUUGUACUCUUUUUCUCCUACGAUCAAGGUUCAGUUUUUCUCCCACAGGGUUUUUGUGACUUGACGAGGUUUUUGACGAGGCAACAGAUCAGCACCAUCGGCAUAUCAGCGCGCGGCACAAGGGGGAGUGUUCUAGGAUAUUCUCUAUGUGUGUCUUGGCCUUAUGCCAAUAGGAUAUGUAGUUAGACUAGAUCUAUGUAUUCAUAUCCUUACCAUAUUGGUAUUGUGUAAUUCCCUAUAUAAAGGGCUCCUAUCAAUGAAUAAGAUGACUCUCUUGCUAUCUCUUUGUCUCUACACUUUAUUCUUCAUCAAUUUAAUAAAUAUUAUACUUUGAGGGCCUAAUUUUAAAAGUUCGACUCAUGCCUGAAAAUCUCAGGUCCGGGCCUACAUCUUCUAUACGUAUAGCUAGCAUUCACAUCAAGAUGGGAAUAAGGUUUCUCAUAUGCAUGCUAUAUUACGAUCAUUAAUUGUAGUAGCUAGGGAGAACGAGAGAGUGUGUACAUGUGUUUUAUGGUUAUAGCCUUAUGACAUGAAUACUAACCCGGAAUAAAAUUGUGAGAGUGACGAAAUUGAUUCUGAGAUUGGUGAAUUAUGAUGUUUACUAAUAUGUCAAGGUAUUUGAAUGGGUGAGAGUUUCACUUGCUUAUCAAAAAUCGAUUCUUUAUGAACCCCCUGAUCUUAUACCCAAGGGGCGAGAUGAGUAUCAGAAUCAAGCUUAUAGAAUCAACUUUUUCUCCUCAAAAUAUUCUCACAUAAUUAAAAAAUUCCAAAUUACUCAUCUCUUGAAAAUUGCAAACAAUCUAGCUUCCUUUCUUAUAGGUGUAUUUUAGUAGUCAAACUAGUUUUAAUUCUGAUUUCAUAUGGUAAAUAAACAACAUCAAUCGUCGUAAUUAGUUUCAUUCUUAUUUUGAUUCCAUAUGGUGAGUAAACAGUAUAAUAGAAUGAAAUAUUUUCAUUCUAAUUUUUGUUGAUACCGAUUUUUAUUGAUAUGGAUUCAGUGUGCCACUAAAUAAACAAAUAUAUCGUCUAUCAAAUCAUCCAUUAGUUAGAACAUUCAUCUUUGUAUCUAUUUACGGAUCUCAUAGUCAAUCAUUUGAGAGAUGAUAAUUUUGCAAUUCGCACUCCAAUUUUAUCAUAUAGAUCGGUGUUAGUGUGUUACAAAUGUUAGCACUAAGCAAAACGUUUACUAAUGCAUCAUAAUAUAUAUAUGAUACUUCCAUUUAUAAGGGUGCUCCUCAUCCCACGUUCGACAGUAGACAAGUGCUCACUUAGGAGAAAUUAAUAAUUUUUCACAGUUAAAAUACUCAAGUGCCCCCAAAUUUCUAAUCCUUAAAUGUGUUUCCAUAUGACACACUAAUCAUUCGAAGCAAGAUUAUUGUAUCUUCACUAAUGUUCGAGGCCGGCAAAACCUAGCCAACUCCAUCAAUUUGAUGAUGAUGAAGAGGCUCUAUUUUAUAUAAACUAAUUUGAAAAGACUUUGGGAAAAUAUUUUUAAAAUGUAAUCAUUAAUAAUAUCGACAAAUUAAUACUCCUUGAUAUAAAACCUUCGUUUGUUUAAACUUUGAUCAAGUAGAGUUGCAUAUAUACCGGGUUGUAGUCGAGAGAAAAGUACCUGACAAACAAUGUGAUACACAUAUACGUACAUACGAUUUAGUGGUUUACGACAUGACUCGUGUUUUACACAACACAUAACGCACGCUGCUACAAUUCAACAAAUACAAAAUAUAUUUAAUUAGUAUAGUAAAAAUUAAAUCCUAAUAACAAAUAUUUCACAAGCUCAGUUAUCAGUUUGAUCAACUUGAAUGAAACUUGAUGAAGAGUAAAAAUAAAAAAUGAAAACCAGUCUGACAACCAGUGCAUGGCAUGGGACAAAUUACAUGUUUAGCUUACAGAAUACAGAUGAAACCGUGUGAAUAUACAGUUUCCAGUUAUAAGCUUAAGGAUGGAAGACCCACCCCAACUUGGUUGUUGGUUGGCUGUGGAUAUUCAACAUUUACUAGCACAAGAAUCUUCACAGAAAUUGCUGGGCAUAUAAAUCCACAGCAUUAGCAUGCCUCACUUAAACUUUCCCUAAAAGUCAAUUCACCUAACUCUUUUUAAAAAUCUUAAUAUCACAAGUGGCAAUUUAGCUAAUCUAUGAGACCAUGAUCAAUCUCACCCCAUACAUACAACGCUAGGAUCCCCUUUGAUGUAGUUGGACAAUAAAUUAGGACUGAACCAAAAAUGGACCCAGUGCUAGCUGCAGCCUUUAUAUAUAUUUGAUCCAACAUAACAUCAAUUGGUAAACUUUGCAAACCAUGGGAGGUUUUCCAAGACCUCAUCCUCUUCUCCCUCUGCUUCACAUUCUCUUGCUUUCCUGGCUACCAUUGUUGGCAACCUCUUCCCCCACAACACAAGCAGAGGCUUUGGUAAGCUGGAAGAGCAGCUUUGAUUCUCCCCCACCUUCUCUCAGUUCAUGGUCCCUCACAAACAUCAACAGCCUUUGCAACUGGACCUCCAUUGUCUGUGACCCCAAAACCAAAACAGUUUCCCAGAUUGACCUCUCAAACUUCAACCUCACUGCAACACUGACAGGACUGGACUUCACCCAGUUUCUCAAUCUCACCCGUUUUAACCUCAAUGGCAACAAUUUCACAGGGCCAAUUCCAUCUGCCAUUGGCAACCUCACCAAGCUCACAACUUUGGAUUUGGGCAACAAUCUUUUUGUAAAUGAAGUUCCUGUGGAAAUGGGGAAGCUAAACCAGGUUGAGUAUUUCAGUCUCUACAACAACAAUCUCACUGGUGCCAUUCCAUAUCAGCUUGACAAUCUCAAAAAGGUACAAUAUUUCCUUCUUGGAAGUAACUACUUAGAGCCUCCUGAUUGGUCUAAAUUUUCAGGCUUUCCAGUGUUGACAUUUCUUGAUAUGUCUCUCAACAGUUUAGAUUCAGAAUUCCCAGAAUUUAUAUCUGAAUGUAGGAACUUGACAUUCCUGGAUUUGUCUCAAAAUGCUUUGACUGGUCAAAUACCAGAAGUGGUACUUACCAAUCUAGUCAAGCUUGAAUAUCUGAAUCUCACAAACAACCAUUUUCAAUCCCCAAUGCCAUAUAAGUUUCCCAACCUUAAACACCUUUAUUUGGGAGUGAACAACUUUACAGGUCCAAUUCCUGAAGGUAUAGGUUCGAUAUCUAGUCUUGAACUUAUUGAACUGAUAACCAAUUUCCUUGAAGGAGAAAUCCCAUCCUCUAUAGGCCAACUCAAGGAGCUUCAACACCUUAACCUUGGAGAGAAUUCCUUGAUGUCUUCAAUCCCUUCUGAGCUUGGUCUUUGCCUCAACCUCACUUUUUUGGCCUUGGCUGGGAAUAAACUCAGUGGGGAACUGCCUCUGUCCUUGUCCAAUCUCAACAACUUGAAGGAGUUGGGGUUAUCUGAAAAUCUACUUACUGGGCCAAUCUUACCUUCUCUGGUCUCCAAUUGGACUGCAAUGGUCUCUAUUCAAUUCCAAAACAAUAAGUUCAGUGGGAACAUUCCACCAGAAAUUGGCCUAUUGACAAAUAUUGAUCUCCUCUUUCUGUACAAUAAUAAUUUCACUGGCCCAAUUCCCCCAGAGAUAGGAAACAUGCAAGCUAUGACAAAUUUGGAUCUUUCAGGAAACCAGCUAUCCGGGCCGAUUCCUAAGUCAUUCUGGAAUCUCACUAAUCUUCAGAGUGUACAGCUUUUUUCCAAUGACCUCAGUGGCACCAUCCCCCCAGAGAUUGGGAACAUGACUUCAUUGACUGUCUUUGAUGUCAAUACAAACCAACUUGAGGGGAAGUUGCCAGAGACCAUUUCUCUCCUCACUAACCUCCAGAGCUUUUCUGUCUUCACCAAUAAGUUGUCUGGAACUAUUCCUAGUGAUUUUGGGAAGUAUAGUCCCGGCUUGGUAUAUCUUAGCUUUUCGAACAACAGCUUCUCUGGAGAAUUGCCACCAGAGUUGUGCAGUGGAUUCUCUUUGAAACAGUUCACAGUGAAUAUCAACAACUUCACAGGGCCAUUACCCGAGUGCUUGAGAAAUUGUACUGCAUUAACUAGAGUCCGGCUUGAUGAGAACCAAUUCACAGGAAAUAUUACCAAUGCAUUUGGUGUCCAUCCUAGUCUUGAAGAAAUUUAUCUUGGUCACAACAAGUUUGUUGGUGAACUCUCACCAGAUUGGGGAGAGUGCAUAAACAUCACUGACAUGCGUAUGGAUGGAAACAGAAUUUCUGGUCAAAUUCCAGCUGAGCUUCUGAAGUUGGCAAACUUGCAGUAUCUAACACUAGGUUCUAAUGAAUUCAGUGGGGAGUUCCCAGUUGGUAUUGGGAAUCUAAGCUUGUUGUUCACUCUCAACCUCAGCAGGAACCACUUCACAGGAACCAUCCCGCAGAUCCACCAGUUGACUAAGCUCCAGACUCUUGAUUUGUCUGAUAACAAUUUCACAGGGGUAAUACCAGACGAAACUGGCACAUUUGAGAGCUUAACAAGUUUAAACUUGAGCCACAACAAGUUAUCAGGUGAAAUACCGGAAGAGAUUGGUAACUCGGAAUUGAGGUACUUGUUGGAUCUUAGCAGCAAUUUGCUCUCAGGAGACAUACCUUCAAACUUGGGCAAGCUCACACAGUUGGUGAUUCUCAAUGUCUCACACAACAAUCUGUCAGGAGAAAUACCAUCAGCAUUUUCUGACAUGCUUAGUCUAGACAGCUAUGAUUUUUCUUACAACAACUUGACUGGUCCAAUCCCAACUGGUGGAAUUUUCCAAACAGCACCGGCAAAUGCUUUUGUUGGCAAUUCUGGUUUGUGUGGAGGUGCAGGACUAACUGCAUGCAAUUCCUCUAGUGGAAAGUCCAAGAAUAACAACAAGAAAGUUCUUAUUGGAGUCCUUGUUCCUAUUUGUGGUUUAAUAGUGAUUGUAACUGUUAUUGCUCUGAUCCUUAUUUUCCGUAAGAAAUCUGAGCUGCAUGAUGAGGAAACCAAAAGUUCUAAGAAGUCAGAGAGUUUUGAGUCGAACAUAUGGGAAAGAGAAGUAAAGUUUACAUUCGGGGAAAUUGUGAAGGCCACAGAGGACUUUGAUGAGAAGUACUGCAUUGGAAAAGGAGGGUUUGGAAGGGUUUACAAAGCUGAGCUUCUUUCAGGUCAAAUUGUUGCAGUCAAGAAGCUUAACAUGUCUGACUCUAGUGACAUUCCAGCAAUAAAUCGACAAAGUUUUGAGAAUGAAAUUCGAACUUUGACACAUGUCAGGCACCGGAACAUCAUCAAGUUAUUUGGAUUCUGUUCAAGGAGAGGUUCCAUGUUCUUGGUUUAUGAAUAUUUAGAGAGAGGAAGUCUCGGAAAAGCAUUGUAUGGGGUCGAAGGGAAUGCAGAACUUGACUGGGCAACAAGGGUCAGAAUUGUGCAAGGACUAGCUCAUGCUCUUUCUUACCUGCACAAUGACUGCUCUCCCCCAGUUGUACACCGGGAUGUUUCAAUCAACAACGUGCUGCUGGAGUGGGAUUUUGAGCCCCGGCUAUCAGAUUUCGGAACAGCAAGACUGUUGAGCCCGGAUUCAUCCAACUGGACCAGUGUUGCUGGUUCUUAUGGCUACAUGGCACCUGGUAAUGUAACACUCAAGUUUGUUUAUUAUUGACUCAUCUUUAUGUGACUAAAAUAUUAAUGUGGCUAAUUGUGUUUCUUCUUUAUGCACAGAGCUCGCAUACACUAUGAAGGUGACAGAUAAGUGUGAUGUAUAUAGUUUUGGAGUGCUAGCACUAGAAGUCCUGAUGGGAAGGCACCCAGGGGAAAUGCUAGAAGCUCUACUAGAGUCAUCAAAAACAUUGCAGGACAACACAGAAAUGCUUUUGAAAGAUGCGAUAGACCAAAGGCUGGAGCCUCCGACCGGUGAAUUGGCAGAGGCAGUAGUGUUUGUGGUGAGCAUAGGCUUGGCCUGCACACGUUAUCGUCCAGAGUUACGACCCACGAUGCGGUUUGUGGCACAAGAAUUAUCAGCUCAGACACAGCCUUACAUUUCUGAACCAUUUGGUAUGUUAACCAUCAACAAACUAACUGAACUUCAAAAAUAGAAGGGAAUGAUACUAGUGUAGCUGUAUUUUUGUCAACAUAAUCUUUAUGUCUGUAUUAUAGAUGUCUUGAGAAAAUAAUCUUGGGGGUCUAGCCCAGGUUAAGUAUACUUGUAUUGUAUAGUGUAUAACCUCAGCUUAGAGAUAGUUUCAUAUACAAGUUGCUUCUACAUUUCACCUGCUAAACCUCAUGUCCCCUACAUUUCUGCAAAAAUCCUAUUUCCAAAUGGUUUCUGGUGAAGAAUUGGCUUUCAAACAGCUUGCUCCCACUGUUUCUCAUAAAAAAUGUAGUAAGAAAUGUGUAGAUACUAAGGAAUCACAUCAUACCUGUCUUUUUUCUUUUUUAUGACUAACUAAAUACUUUGCAUCUAGUCAAACCUUUUGUUAUUGUUCAAAGUUGACUUUUAGAGACAGUUAUUCUUCCAUAUUUUAGGCUGGUCUCAGUGCUUGUAAAUUUCUAGAAGCCAUGCUUCUAAUAAAAAUAAUAUAUCAUCAAAGAAAAAAUGAGGAACACUGAUUUGGAAAUCCCUCUGAACAUUAGUGAAUGUAUGGAACUAUGGAUAGUGUAAUAUACAAAUCAUCACCUUAGAACAUUUAAAAAAAAAAAAAAAACGAAGCAAAAUUUGCAUUACUUCAAAGACAAUCAAUGAAGAAGGUAAACAAAAGACACCAACAGCAUUCUCAUGACUCAGCAAUCCACCCCACAUUGUUUAAGAAUUGGUCCAGUUUGCUUAGCCAAGAAGGGAUCAAUUCUUACCCAAACCAAUGAGAAAAUGGAAGCAAGUAGAACUGACCAUAGUACCACAAUGGUGGGAGUCCUGUUUUGCCUGCCCAUCAAACCUUUGAGGAAAGGGUAGAGAUGAACAAUGACCCAGAAGGCAAAGAAGAGCUUUCCAAACAACGGACCCCAUGAGCCGUAGCCAUUGUUAAUAGCAUCAGAAACUCCAGCCACAACUCCCACCAUGUUCAAGAUGAUAAGGGUUGUUGGUGGUAUGAGAAGCGUAGUCCAUUUGAACAGGUAGAGUUCCCCAAACUCAGCAUCUUCUGCUGCUUUUGAUGUGACUGUAAAGUUGGUGUCAACACCAGCAAGGACUUUGAGGAGGCCUUGGAAGACGGCAAAGAGAUGUGCAGAGACACCACCAAUCACCCAAAACUGCUCAUUACGCCACAAGUCUUCGAUGCUAACACCGCUCCAUCUGAGCUCAAGCACACUGGUUGCAAUGAUGGAGAUGAAAAGAGCCAGGAACCAUACACUGGCAAAGUUGUUUAGCUGCAAAGAAUGAAAUGUUAAUUAGAAAACCAAAAAAGAUAUAAUGAGAUUUAGUUUGAUUUCCAGUUGGCCUUUCUCAACUGAUGUCCAAAAGUACUUACUGUGGGGAUGAUGAACUUUCCAGUUAAAAGACAAACAGCUGGAAUAGUACAAUAGGCAAGUAAGGGAAUGGAAGUGAAAGGGUAGACUAUGGUGUUAAUGUAAGCAAGCCUCUCCAACAAUUUCAGCUUUCCUCCCCAUGCAUACCAUAAGGGACAGUGACGACUGAGGAAGAUUUCGACAGAGCCAAGUGCCCAUCUCAGAACUUGGUGCAGACGAUCUGACAAAUUGAUAGGAGCAGAACCCUUGAAAGCUGGUCUCUUUGGCACACAGUAGACUGACUUCCAUCCUCUACAAUGCAUUUUGAAGCCGGUCAAAAUAUCUUCUGUAACUGAACCAUAAAUCCACCCAAUCUGCAAAGAGAAACCAACAAAAGUAAUCAUUUUAGUUUCUGUAGUCUCCACAUGAAAUAUUUUGAAUCUGUAAACAUAGAGAAAAGUUCAUCAUAAUGCAAGUCACCUCUCUUCCCCAUUCAGUUUUUUCUUCAUAGCCACAACUAAUAACAUGAAUGGCCUCCUUAACAAGUGCUGUGCUGUUAAUCCCUUCAGGGAGCCCACCAUUUUCCAUGAGAGUGGAAGCAAUGAAAACUGGGGAUUGUCCAAAUCGUUUCUCAAAGUUUUUCUGUGACAUGAGAGAUGAUUUCUCCAACUCAUCAUAACCUUCAAACCCUUCUUCAAUCUCUUCAAGAUCAAACAUUGGUCCCCUCCCUUUCCUCACAUAGUUCUUCCCCAUCAUUUUUUUCUUCUUCUUUGAGUAAAGUCCCCCAAGAAGACUUCUUACUCCACCCUUCUUAGACUUGGACUUCUUCGAAUCCCCACGACAGCAGCCACAGCAGCACCAUGAAGGCCAGCAGUCACAUGUCAUCUUAGGUCUCUUUUCUGACACUGGUGGAUCAUAACCAUACAAUGCCUGCCUAUUGAAGACACACCCCGUACCAACAUAUACCGGUCCUUGGAUCCCAUCUAGCCCUUUCAUGUUGAUCUAUCACCAAAACACAGUCAAAGCUUUGAGCUAAGUAUUUGCAGGCAGUGAAUUCUGUAUUCUAAUAAAGAAUGUUAAUUUUAAAUUGAAGCUUUAGUGUUGCUUACAUCGAAGAAAACAGUAUUCCGAUUUGCAUAUCUGUCAUGAAGAUCAAUACCAUCAAACCUUUGAGGGAAUUGGACAUAGCAGAGCUUCUUUCCAAGUUGAGGAUCCAUUAGGAAGCACAUAGCUUCUCUUAUAGCCUUGCUGUUAUUGAUGUAGUGGUCACAAUCCAGAUUCAACAUGAAAGGUGCAUUAGAAAGCACUGCAGAAACUCGAACCUGUUGAUCAUUUCCAAAUUUUAAACAUUGCUGAAUGCACCAGUCUCACCUCAAUAUAGCAUUACCCAAAUUAAAUUUACACCAACUCACCAUAGCAUUCAUUGCACCAGCUUUCUUGUGAUGUUGAUAUCCAGGACGCUUCUCACGAGAAACAUACACAAGACGUGGCAGUUCCUUACCAUCCACAUCCAGAGCUCCCUCACUUCCCAGAUAAACCUGCAAAGCAAGCCAAAUGUUGUCAGUGACUAGUGAAAGCAAGCAUUUUUGUAUGCAUUUUCUCUACCUUUCCCUCUCUCUAAUUUUCUACUGAUAAAGCUGAAGUCCAACAUAAAAACCGCAUUGGACAACAUGGAUAUGCUAGGAAAAAAGAGAACAGGGAUAACAUUGUUAUACCUGAAUCAUUCCGGGAUGAUCACGAGUGUUGUUACCAGGCCAUGGAGUACCAUCCUGCAUCACCCAUCCUUCUUCAGGUUUCUUCAGAGCAUUUGCUACCAAUGCAUUAAUUCUCACUUUGAAUUCUUCAUACUCUCUCUGCAGUACCACACACGAAAAAAGAUCUUUUAUAUUAGACCUUACAUAUUUGUUAUCAAAAUUUUGUAACAAUAUAGCAAAAGACUAAAGUAAUUUCUUCAUCUGUUAUUUUUUGCUCACCUUCAUGGCUCUGCGCUCCUUGACAAAGUUCGGAUGAACCUUGUCCUUCAAGUAAUCAAUCUUCUGAGAAAAAUAAAACUCAGGAGCCCUUGGCUCAAUGGUAUGCUUUUUGCAAAAUGGCACCCAUCUUCUUGCAAACUCAGCAGUCUCAGAUAGUGCAUCAAAAAGAAGCAUUGAAGCGCCAUCAUCCGAAACAUAACAGCACACCUUGUCAACUGGGUAGUCAACGGCUAAUAUGGAUAGAACUGUGUUUGCAGUAAUGAUUGGAGGCUCCUUGAGAGGGUCCACUGAACUCACAUAGACAUCAACUGGAGCUAGAGUGUUAGGCUCACCCUCACGCUCAAACCUCAAGGACAGGCGGUCCAAGUAAGUUUCUCGGUUGAUAGGUUGCCAUUUAGGGAACUGGUCAAGUAUCCAAGAGAGUGCAAACCAUAUCUCACAAAUCACAGAUAUGAGCCACAGGGGAAAAGCAUCAUAGGCUGGAGUCAAGAUACGGAAAUGAAAGAAGAAGGCCAGAAUCACAAGCCGCAUGACAAUGACUAUGCGGUAAGGGCUGAUUUUGCUCGAGGCGAUGGGGACUUUUCGCCAUAGUGGUUGCCGAGCUUCAGCCAUUCUGCACAAAAGUUACACUUGAAUAAAUGAGAACUACUACUAUAUCACUCGGUCGACAAAAUUUGGUAAACAAUUCUGAAGUAUAGCUAAAGUUUACAAAAUGAGCUUACAGGAAGUCAUCUUCUAGGCCUUGAUCAUCAUCAUUUCCAUCAUAUUUGUUCACCAAGCCUCUCUUUUCUUGCCUCACUUUCCACUUCUCCACUCUGUCUUUCCAUUCUGCACUACCCAAAGCUUCUUUGUCGCCUUCAAAAUCCUUAACUACAGAGACCGAAAAUACACAAAUUAAAAUAUGCAAUUUCCUCAAAGAAUUGAAGUCCCUUUUGAUUAUAGUAAUAUACAAGUUUCUAUAUCCUCACCACUUCCUUGAACUGAGAAGGGUUGAUUAUUGGUUUGCCAUUUCUGUUGAUUAUGGUCUCCAUUCUCCUGCAAAACUCACCAAAUGAUCACUUUGGCACCUUAUGAUCACGUCUAGUGCUCAAAAUGAACUAUAAUAUCUUUGAAAACAACAACUAGACUAGAUUAAUUACCGAAGGAACAUCAAUGGCAUGAUUUUUCUCCUCAGAAGAGUCAUGAUCAUUGUGAUUCUUGACAAUCUGAAACUCCUCAUCAAAAUCAUCUGCAUCAAAGUCUUCGUCGUCUCCAGCAACUCUAGGACAACCUACAGGUUAUAUGAUUGAAGGUCCAAGGCAACAUGUCAUUAGAUAGAAUAAUAAGAAAAUCAGAGGUGAUUUACUCAUGAGAUUUAUCUGUACACUAAGUACCUUUGUGACGCUUAUAUCGAGUAUUGCACUGAGGGCAACACUGGUUGCCUUCACUCCUCUCAUAAUCAUAACAAGGCCUACAAACUGGGAAGCCACACACAUGGCAGGCCACAAACAACUCGCCACCUUCUUUGAAUCCUAUAUCAUCUCCACAAACUCUGCAUACUUUCGACACUGACUGCCGUGUUGGAGGCAGGUUCUGCAUCAAACGCAACAAGUUAACAUCAACAGACACAAAUGCUGAUAUCAAAAAGGCUCAUAGGCUAUAGGAGUUGUACCUCUUCAGUGGCGCGCAACGCAUGUAGUUCAUCUUCACCUUGGUUGUGAGAACCAGUAUACAAGCCUGCCAUGGAGUUUGAGGCCAUGGCAAGCAAUGCAACCAAAACUAAGGAGAUACAACUGAUCCAAAGAUGGAUGGUGAGAGAGGAGGAAAGGGAAGGAGGGCAUUAUAUUGGUAUGUCUGGAGCUUGUAAAAGAAUAAUAUGGAAGUGUGAGUGUGUUGUCUCUACCUACUGUGAGUUGGGAAGUCAUAGGUUUGAGUCUAAGAGACGUUAUUCAUGAAACUACAGGUGAGAGAGUCUUUGGGUUUGCUUGCUUUGUUUGCUUGGUAUGUUAAAGAUCUCCAUGGCUAGUUAGCUUAGAAUCAAAGGUGUCUCUGAAGUAGACACCAAACUUUUUUUUCCUUUUAUUAAAUAGACAAUAAAAAUGAUGUACAUACACCUUGACCUUCUCUAUCUGUCAUGUACCCAACUUAUCAAUUCCUCUCAAAAAAACUUCUCAAUCCUUACUGUGCUAGAAAGGUAACUCGUCAUUCAUCUAUGAUUUAUGACACAAAAUCUAACCAAAAAUUCAUAAGGAUUCUGCCAUUCUCAAAUUUCUUCAACUGUUUAUAUGCUCGUAUAGAAAUGUCAAAUGCGCUUCACUCAUUAGCCACACAAAUCUGUAGAUUAUUUGUGCAUAAUCAUGGUCUCCAGUAAUUACAUGAAGUGAUAGAAAUGAUGAAUUAACAAUAGAUAGCUAUUAGUCAUAAGGUUAACUGCAUUAGGAUCAAGACUCUGGCUAAUUAACUUAAAACCAUCAGCAAGACAGAACAGACUGCUGACUGCAUAGGCAUUAUUCAAUGCUGAUGCGAAUAUUAUCAUAUUAAAAUCAGAAGAUGAAAAAAGAAAAAAGACCAGAAAAGCUCUUUUUCUUAGGCAACCAAGCCUAUCUUAAAAUUUAAAACCAUCUAUAAUCAAGAAUGAUUGGUCAGUCUAAUACUGGUUUAACAGAUGAUACUGCUAUUCUUUAAUUUUGGGACGCUUAGGAGGUUGGGAACUGGACAUACAAACAUCCGGCUCAGAAUCCGUGGGAGCUUCAGUUUCAGGGGACUUUUGCUUUCCUAUAGGCUCCUCAGCACAUUCUGCUGAUGCAACUAUGGAUUUGGCAGGAUCAUGUUUGGUCUUGUCAUGCUCCACCUUGGAGGUCUCCAAUUCACUUUUAUCAGGAGAAACUUGCAUUGCCUCAGAAGGCUGAGCAGAAGGAUUUUCCACACCGGAUGACGACGCAUUCAUAUUGUCAAUACUGGAUUUGCAUUGCUUUUCAAACAUCAUUUGAAGGUACUUCCCUUGUUCUUCAAUUCGUAACUGUAGAUUUCUCUGAAUCUGCAGAGGGGAAAGUCAAAAAAAUCACACUGAAAAUUACCCAGAGAGAAACACAGGAAAGCUCAAUAAUACACGAUAAGACAAACAGACACUGAGAAGGUGAAGUUUCAUUACUAUAUGCAAGUGAGAAAUUAGGGAUCAAAUAAGUUACCAAGAAAAUCCUUUUUUCUUUUGUUUGAACGAGCAAAUUCAUACCUCAAGCUGUUCAUGCAGCCGCUUCUGAACUUCCAUCUGCAGUCGCAGAGCUUCAGUGAUCUCGAUACCCCUAUAACCAAAAUAAGAAAUAAUGGAUAAGUAUGGGAGAGAAAGAUGAAAUGUCACAAUCAAACCUGUACUGACAGUCACAAAUAUCAUAUGUGACAUUUGGCAUUCUGUUAGACCCAAUUAUAUCUUAAUUGCAUUCAUAUUGCUCGCUAUACUUGAGCAAUUGAAGCAAAUGUCAGGCAUCUUUUCGGAUCUACUCCCAUCCCCCACCAACUGCUCUUAGUGAGUGAACAGCUAGUUAAAGGAAACCUUUAACGCAGAGCCCUAAAGCUUUGAAAAAAAAAAAUUAUGAUACACUAGUAUACACAGUAAAUGGGGAAGAACCUCUGGUUAUGCAAAUUUAAGAUUUGUAAAUGUGUAACGUGUGUAAUCUGACAAACAACCUACACCCCAGUAACUGGGUAACCACAAGGGGUUCAUCAGCUGUUGCAAUGAAUUCAGUUAAAAGUGUUCUUCAGAUGCUUACGUUUUCAAGUCUAAAGAUGUCAUUUCUUCGAGAGGAGUUAAUUUUUUCUCCAAUGAUCCUGCAGAAAGACAUUGAAAACACAAUACAAUGUUAAAUAAGGUCAUAUACAAAUGCCACUUAAUCGAGUAUAGCAUGAAACUCCAGGAAGCAAAAACAAGCAUUUCAACAUAAAUAUGGUAUUGGUGGAUGGAUUAAUAAGAAAAACUGAAAUAGCUAAGAUUAAAAAGAGACACAAAAUGAGAAAAUUCUAGCAAUGCUUAGAAAUGAUGAGAUAAUUUGAUAGGAUAAUGUCGUCCAUAAAAAGUGAGAAUAAAAUGAACUAGUCUUUGUUAUUAACAAGAAACAUAGAAGAAUUUGUAAUUAACAAGAACAGAUCUUUGUCACUUUGUAUCAAAUUGCUGCUUGUUUAGGUGAGCCCGUUACCUCUGCCCCACACUACAAAUAUUAUAUUAUAUAAAUGGUGCAUUGACAUAAUUUCACCUAGACAAUUGAAUAAAACCCAGUGUCCAAAACAGUUCAAAAUUACAGGUUCAAAUAUGAUGAGAGAAAAACAAAGCAUCACGAGAAACAGACCACAAUCAUGCCUAAGUAAAUACAGGCUAAGCAAACAUCUUUUAAUGCAUAAUAUAUACAAAACAUCAAACAGAACUGAGAUAUAAAUUCAUGCAUGUACAUUACAAAGUCAAUCACUAUAUACCUUCUGAUGAGAGGAACAAUUCAAAUUUACAGGUUCAAAUAUGAUGAGAGACAAAAGCAUAAUGAGAAACAGACCACAAUCAUGCCUAAGUAAUCACAUGUUAAGAAAAUAUAUUUUAAUGCAAAAUUUAUACAAAACAUCAAACAGAAUUUAGAUAAAAAUUCAUGCAUGUAUAUUACACAGAGUUAAUUACUAUAUACCUUCUGAUGAGUCUGGUCUGUAUCUAGCGGUCCUAUAUUUCUGCAAAUUAAAAAUCUCCAAUUAAAAACAAAGUUCCUUCUUAAAAAAAGAAUAUUCCAGAAAAAAUAUCAGCAAGAAACACUGGUAAAGGAGGUUUUUUACCUGCAAGUGACUUUUCACAUGAUAGAUAGUCAAGCUUUCCACUUUCAUCAGCUUCAGCACACCCUUAGGAGUUGCUCCUGUAAGAAAUGAAAAGUUUAACUCGGGCAGAAUAUUUUAUCUUGGGCUAAUAAUUUGUGAAGCCAGAUAAAGUACUCACUUUCACUACCACCAAGUUGGUUAACAGCUUCGACAAAAGACUCAUGAAGUUCUGGUGUCCAACGCAUACGUGGCUUCGCUGCGGCACUGUUAGCUGAGGAAGGAGUAGUAGUAACAGAAAUUAUAUCCUUAGAUUGACCAGGAAGGAUUUCUCUAGAUGGAGCAGGAAUGAUUUCUGUAGAUGAAGCAGGAUGUUGCUGAGAGACUUGGGACUGCUGAGCUGAAAAAUUCAAAGAUGGUUCUCUAGAUGAAGCAGGAUCUUGCUGAGAAACUAGGGACUGCUGAGCUGAAAAAUUCAAAGAUGGUUUGGGAACCUGGUAUGUCAUCUGAAAUAACAAAAUCAGAUCCAAAUUGGUUUUUUGGCCAUGCAUUAUUCAUUUCAAAUACAUAUAAUGAACAGCCACAUGAGAGUCUUAACCUUUGGUUCCAGAUUUGUAACAUUGUCGUCAACGAGAAGAUCACUCCAGUUAGAAGUCAAAGCAUCAUCAUCAGUAACUAGCUGGCUUGCCCACUCCUGCCACUCAUCUGCAGCAGCCAUAAUGCCACUACAACUACUGCUCUCUAUUUGACUAUUCUGAACAGGGGUAUUUACAGGAAAAUCAAGGAACCCUGGCAGAGAAUCUGUACCCCAUGAAUGACUGUUUUCUUUGGAAUAGGCACAAGACGCGGUAGAUUGAAAAGCUUCUGAAGGAGAAGAAUGUGAUAAUGGUAUAGACGCAGAGCUUGAGGACUGUGAAAUGAAAGGACUCUUUCUUGACUGCUUCUCACGAGGCGAAAUAGAUGAGUAGUGAAGAUCUGUUGAGAAUCUUGAUGGUGAUGAAAUUAUGUGACCAAUUACACCACUGUUAGAUGUCAAGUGACCUGCAUGAACAACAGAUCUUUCCAUCGAAACCUGUUGUGAGUCUUGCAACUUGGGGUAUGUCUCCUGCGAAGGGGAUUGAAGGACUGGUGUAGAUGAAGAUAGUGCUCCAGAGACUCCCAUGUGACUAUUUGCAGUUGAUCUCCGAAUGGCAGGGCGUGCCUCCAUUGCUAGUUCUAAAUCAGAAAACUGAGCAUCAGUAAAUACUCAUAGUCAUUACUAAUUAGCUAAUAGCAAAGCUUGUGAAAGUGGUGACACUUACCAACUUCAAAACCUACAGAACACACCCUGAUUUCUUGUUCUUAUUGCUCAACCACAGAAACCAAUCAUCAAAUUCUACCUGUGAAUAAUCAAUAAAAGCAAGUCAACACCAACACAAACCAUGACAAAAUAAAAUCAUUUCACGGCCAUAAAAAUGACAGAAAUUCUCCCAUAUCUUUGGAAAGAAAAAAGAUUGACAAAUAGAACGCACACCGCCUUUACAAUAACCCCUAAAACUACAAGUCCAGCGGAAACCCUGAUUAUCACACGAGAACUUCUCCAAUAAAAAACAAAAAACAAAUUUCUCUUCAACAUAUUUCUGAGCCAGUUCACGAGUAAGUUGUACUGGUACAUAACACAAUCACAUAUUCACACUCUGGAUUAGCUUAAAUAAUCUUAAAACCUUCUGCUACAAAUUCAUGUUUUCCGAUUAAAAUUUUCACAGUUCUACCUCUCAAAUGUAUCCUAAAGCUAUACUUACAGCUAUAUUACCGAAAACCAGCUCGCAGAAUCAGAAUUUCAUCAAAUAAUUUAACACAAAAGAACACAUUAUUCAUCACCAAAACGAUGAGAGCACCAAUUCAAUUCAGAACCUAAUAAUCCUAAUUGAAUCGAAUUCCAAUUGAGAAUCCCUAACCUGAAGCAGAAUUAUCAUAAAGCAAUAUUGAAAAUUGAAAUUGAAAUUGAAAUUCGUACCUAAAAAUUUGAGAGCGAGCUGCACCGAGAAAAGAAAGCCAAAACGAACCAGAAAGGCGCAGGAGAAGAAUCGAAUCGUGAACCACGAGAGAGAGAGAGAGAGAGGUGUCUAGGGUCACAGGCGGGUGUUUUGAAUUCCGUCACCGGCGAUUAAGAGAAAGAGAGAGGACGACGAGUGUGUGCGCCCCCCUUUUGGGUAUCUCUCUCUCCUUGAUUCUAAUAAAACAAAAAUAAAACAGUGAUUUACUCCACGCGCCUCAAGGUGCGUGCUGACCAGUCUUCCUCGAAAUCGACGGGCAUACGUGGCGUGGGGCCCACAUUUGGCGGCUAGUGAUUGGGUGUACGGUGAGUUUCAGAGUGGGGUGCACGGUGGGGCUAAGGUUUUCAGCGUUGCACAGUAUUUUUUAUUUUUUUUGAGAAAUAAUUGAAAUGGUCUUUGGAGUUGCCCAAACGACCAAUAUGUCGACAUUUUUUCUAAUUCGUCUCUUUUUGGCUUUUUGCUUCGUGAGGAUACGAACGAUAGCUAUACACAUUUGUAUGACAUACAUUAAGCAGUAAGCCGUCUAAUUAUUUAGCAAUUUAAAACAAGAUGAUCGAACGGAUCAAGCUGAUGCUAGCUAUAUAUAUAUGUAUAGUAAAAAAGUCCGAUACAAACAAAAUGCAUCAUGAUAAUAGUGAAUAAAUAUAACUUUUUGUAUUUAUUUACAAUUUAAAUUUAAGAAUUUAAACUAGAAGCUUCUAGCUUCAUAUGGCUUACGGUAUGGAAUUGACCUAAAAUGUAACGGGAGUUUGUAACUAAAAUGAGUACUUGUAUGAGAGUGAAAUUCUCUAAUGUUGUUGUUUUGUAAAUUAUUUGUUCCGAUGAAAUUGCUCUAAACACAACUUUAAAUACUCAUGCUACAAAAACUAUCAACUAAUAACGAUGGAUAACAAGCGACAUUGAGUAAUCUUUCUAUUGUUAGAAACUUUGAAAAGAAAAUUGUGCAACAUGACUUACUCCACUAUAUAAGGCCAAGAAUGCACUAUAGUAAGGAUUUCUCUUUUAAACCUGUCUUAUUUUGGUAAGUGACAUGUUUCGGAGUUUUUAAAAUUUACAAGUGUUGUUUUAGUAAAAUGCACAAAUACAUACUCCUAAAACAACUAAACAUAUUCAUAGGUAGCCUUCAACUCGAUGUUGUAACCUCAACAAAGUAGUUGAUCGUCAAAGCUUUGGCUUGGCAUGAAAGCUUGUAAAGGGUGAGCUGGUCUUGGCAUGAAAAAGCUGUAAACGAUGACAACUGCAUAACUGCUUCACGCCUUCAAUAGCUUCUAGGAUUAUAACAUCAAUGAGAAAAUUCAAUUUUCUUUUUCAUUUUCGCUUUCUUUACUGUGUUGCAAGCAAUUGCUUGAUCACCUUGAUGAGGCAAAACUAUGCAUGCCAUAUAUUAUGAGUCCAAUUCAAACAAGUUAUACCAUCUCUGUUUUAAAUUGCUAAAGAGAGAGGAAGCAUUCUCUUCUUUGGUUUGGCAAAGAAAGACAAUUACACAAGUUAUCAAAUUCCUAUAAUUUAUGCUCCUCCGAAUAAUUCAAAGGAUUUUUAUGUAGGGAUCACAACUCAUACAAGAUUAUGACCAAGUUGUCAACUUUGCAAUGCAUGGAUGCAAAUGCAAUAUGGGAGAAUAUACUUUGAUACUCAAAAACACUGAUCGAACUGAACAAAAGGACAAAGUUUAUGCUGUUUAGCCUAAUACAGCAAUGAUCUGUGGACUGAAAUUGCAAGCUAGAUAUAGUACAUGGAAUUGGGUAGUUUGAAUGUUCUUUUAGCAGCAGGAAGGCCCUCGAAACUGCUCCACUGGUCUCCGAUGAUUCCCCGAAUGCGGUAACCUUCAUCGAUCAGUCGAUGCCUUGCCUUAGACUUGUACAUCUGCACUUCCAUAAAUUCAUCUUCGAGACCCCUGUAACGUGUUAGAGGUAUACAUCAUGAAUCUAGUCAUUGUUUGUUUAUGUGUUCAUCCUAAAAAUGAGGGAUUUGAGAUCUUAGUAGUAGAGCCACAUACCUUAGUACAAGACUAGUCCAUCCAUGGUAUCCAACCUUAAUGAGGUUAUCUACGCUUGAAGAUCUAAGGGUCUCCCUCCUUGUAGAGAUGAGAAAGAUCUUAAAUCCUUGGUCUUUAAUAUCAUGGAAGAGCUUUAAAGUGUGCUCUAGAGCUGGUGCCUUGCUCUCUUUCAUCCACGUUUCCAAAGAUGUUGCAUUCAGCUUCUCUCCCCUAGUUUGAAUUUUCCAAAAUAAGAAUUACCUAGUCAGUCAUUCCACAGUAGAAGAAGAACAACAACAACCGUAUAAUAUCUAGUCUGUAAUGUUUCCUUGUCAAUAUCGAGUCUAACUAUGUUGUAGGCACAAAUUGAUCAUUCAUUUGGCAAGAAGACACUAUUCAUAAAUGUAAUGCGUACGUUGAUAGAUAAUGUUUUUUCAUUUUAUAAAUGACAUGUUAUGUUGUCAGAUUAUGAAUCUAAGACCACGUGCAUAUUCAAAUUAAUAAGAAUAUAUUUAUUUUCAUUUUUUUGGUUACAAUAAGAAUUUAUUUGAUUCGGAAUGGCGACACAACAUUCUGAUAAGAUAGUGGAAUAUAAUUUGAAGUUGUACUUACCCAAAACCAUGUUUCUUGAAAUAAGGAAUAGUGGAGAUGUGUAUCAUCAACAUCAAAAAUCCAAGCAUCUUUACCAUCACCCUCCAAAGUGCAGCAGUAACUGCUGCUCAGGUAGAGAGUGACUUCCUCCAAGGCCCUCUCUGAGUCAGCGUUGUACUGAGAAGAUGUCAUGUAAUUCCUUAUGUGCUCAACACAUUCUUGAGGCACCACAUCAAACCCUCUAAUGUUGUUGACCUCCACAUUGAUCCUCCAACUCUCACAGUACUUCUUCAAGCCAUCUCCCACUGCCCCAUUGUUACUCUUCUUCUUCUGGUUCAAAAUGCUCCAAUCUGCUGCAACCACAGUGAAGAGGCUUGAGAUCAAAAGCAGGAACUCUAUGAGCUUUCCCAUUUGCAAAAUGAGGGACCGAGGGAGUGGAAAUGGGUGAGUUUAGAACAUUUGAUAGGCAAAUUAAAAAGAGUGGCAUGGGCUGUGGGGUAUGAAUGUUAUGGUCUUUUACUGGGGAUCACAUGGUUUGCAAUCAAUUUUGGGGAUUAAUGAAUGUUUAUGAUGGACAAAUGGACAAAAACCAAAAUUGAGAGGCAAUCAUAAUUUUGAGAAUUGUUUGCUACGGUGUAUGGACUAUCUGAUCUAUUAAGUAGCACCCAUUCUGCCUCAUAAUUUUUGGAACUUCAAUAUCAUACAGCAUUGUCAGGCUCAGGCAUUCACAUCAUACUGAUGAAGAACAUGAUGGGUCUCAAAGAUGUGUUUGAUCCAUCACAAGGCUCACCCAUACUGAAUAAUUAAAAAGUGAUUCUCAUCGAGCUUUACAGUGAUUUUGAUGCUUGGUGAUGAAAUGGAUGAUAUAUGUUAUUCAGGAAGUCUUUCUAACGAGGACCUUUAAGUUGAGGCCUAGUUGAAGAUUUUUCGGCUUAUCCUACUUUUCGAUCUUAUAUCCACAUCUUGACCGUUCAGUUUAUAUGUAUUUAUGAGUAGAUCAUUUCUGUAAAUUUUCAACCAUAUUGAAAAUCGUUAAGACAUUCAUAAGUGUGAUAUACCAAUUAUGAACUUGAACGUUUCAUGUUUGACAGAUUCGGUUCGUUCAUUAAUUUGAUAUAGUUUGUUACCUUAACAAUCACAGAUUUGGCUGAAAAUUUGGAGGGUUGAUCUAUACAUAUAGACCUAAAAACUGAAUGGAUGAGAUGUCAAGAUGUGAUCGAAAAAUAGGUCAAUUAAACCAUAAACCGAAAAGUCCUUAACUAGUCCUCAACUAAGAGUCCUCACUAGAAGGGCUCCCAUGUUAUUCAAUGAAUUGCUUAUUCUUUUCUUCUUUUUCUUUUCAUAAAACAUUACUAUGUUCCUUGCUUUCUAUGAGUGGCUAAACUCAUUGCAUUAACAUAGUGAUGACAUGGUUUGAAAGUUUGAUGCAAGCUAUUUGGUUUUCUACCUGCCUCAGGAAACAAAAAACAAAAAGUAGAUGAAGCAUGAUGGUUUACUAUAAUAUUGAGUAAUCCAUUAGGAAUGUUUGCCAUGUUGAACUGUAAGUGGUGAAGUUUGGAUUCUUUGGCAUUUUUAAAAGAGGAGGAAACACAAUUUAGGUAUAGUUUGUGGAUGGUUUCGAUCUUGAAACACCAAAGAAUCAUGGAGAUGAAUGGUGGAGGACCCAAGACCAACCAAUGUGCAAAGCUGACUCAUCUUUCAUUAUCUUUUUCACAGGAAAAAAGAUGCUUCAUCCACUCCUGAAAGGAAAAUGGAGAAUGUGAAAUAAGCAUUACUAAGAACAGAACUUUCAAGGUCAGUUUUCUCCUUCAUCUUAUCAACAAAAAUGACCAAUGAAAAAGGCCAUUGCAGAGACAACAGGUUGACAUUGAAACAAAAUUUGGCAUGCUACUAACAGCCAACAUUCUACAUGGAAAUGGAAGUUGCAUGCUAUACAGACUCGAGUAAACUCGAAAAUAUCUAUACAUCUUGAAGGAAAACACCGUGCCUUCAAUGGUAUCUGGGAAACUACUCUUUUGAAAGCACAAAUCAUCAUCGGAAGCUAUGAGGUAAGACAUGAUCAUCGAAACCAUUGUCAAAGUUGAGAGAAUAGCUAUGAAUGUCAUAACUGAACUGGCCGUAUCUCUUUCGCCGUCCCAAAGCUUUUCUGCAUUGCAACUCUAACUUCCGAAUCAGCUGCCUCAAAAGAUGAGAUCCGCGGAAACAACCCAAUGAUGCUCUACUUUCAACACUACCAAGUGUGACUGCUGGCCCGGUGCUGGCAAUUCUCCUCCCCAACUUCAAACACUGCAUUCUCCAAGGGCUAGACAUCCUUGAAUCCUUCAUUUUUAGGCUCUUGUUAUCUACCCUCAGCUGCUGAGUUGUUUUAUAGAGAGAAUAUAUGAGCAGGAGCGUAAAGGCAAGAGCGUCAAUUGCUCACAAAAGAACAUGUAGGUGAAGCUUUCAAGUAUCAGUUCCCAUCAGCAGGUUAUCUGUAUGCUGUCACAUUCUCAUUGGCCGAAGUUGAUAAACAUUAUUAUCAAGAGUCCAAUAUGCUUUGCUUUGAUACCAUAUCCAGGUCACCAAGGUCCCAUUCUACAGAAAGGUAUGGAAACUUGCCUCUACUGAUGCAAUGUCGGUAUAGAUGACCAAUCACUUUUGGAGUAGAUUGAUUUCUGCACAGUCACUGAUGUUUAUGGGGUUGUAUUUUGCUUCUGCUUCGACCAAAGACUGAUAGUGAACUUCCCUGGAAGCUUGUACGUAGAAUGAGGUCCACUCCUACGUCAAAAGAUCACACCGUCCAUCCCCAGAUAACGAUAGUAACCUGAUUAAUCACACUGCUGUUAGCUUUAUGUAGCUUUACACAUAGUUGAUCACGCUUUGUACACGAUAACAGAUUGGCCUACAAAGAUCAUGAGGAUUUUCGAAACAGUGUUCGACACGUGUAUGAAUGAAAAGAUAUUAUCAAAAGUGUUCAUUUUACCCGGAAAAACAGUUCUGCAGUGAGAAUAAACCCCAGCUGGGCACCUAGGAAACCAGGAAUGAACGAAAACCACGUUCAUGUAAAGACGAAGAAGAUGAUGUUCACGAUAAAACACCCUUUGGCAAAGCAAGGCUUCCAUGUAUCAUAUAGUUUCCAAAAUCAUUAUCUAGACAAUUAAACUUGAGAUAUUUCAGUCACAAGUUUUGGAAAAAAAUAAGCUACUUCAUGACAAGCAUCACAUCCUUCCAAAUGUCAAGCUUCAGCUACUCAUUCAAAUUUUAACCUAUACAUUCAGUUAUAUAAAGUCCGACUUUACGUCGGGAUGAUUUAUCUAACAUUUUUAAGGACAUAAAUCACAUAACUGACUACUAGUAGCAAUUAUUCACUGUUAUGGAGGAUCAAUAUUCUCAUCAUCAGAAGACUGACCUGAUAGUUCAAAAUAGCCUAGCAGAACCAUCAGCUAUGGGCAACUGGACGAGAGCCAUAAACAUGAAAAACGUAAAGGUACCAAAUUCUCUGAGCAAGUUCACCUGCAAAUGAGUUUUGCAGUAAUUAUUUGCUGGCAUUUUUUCUGAUACGGUUUCUACAAUGGAUACAAACAUUCUUCUUUACUCAGGGAAUGGAGUUACUAUGGAUUUAAGUCAAUAUACUCACAGUCAGUGUGCUCCUUCCUAUUGUGAGCACAGUCACAACAUCUACAACAAGGAAAUGACCAUGUAUUAGCUGCUAUUGACCCAGAAUUGUCUUUGUGCGAUAAACAUAUAAUCUGUACAAAUAAUCAUUUGGGAGAAAGGAGUUAAAACACAAAACCUCAUUGUCGAAAGAUCUCCCUUGACUUGAAUCUCAAUUUCGCUCAAAUAAAGGCUAAACAAAGGUGUCCUGCAACAUAAUUAUUGCCUUCUUAAAUUGGAAAACAGACGGACUGAAAACAAGUGUUAGUGCGUAAGUAUAAACAUGGAGAGAGGAUGAUUUUAGAAUCUCAUUGAGACAAAACCAGUCCACUUUCAUCUAAUAUAUCAUCAAUGAGUCAUGUACUCGUGCUUUUAAGAAUUGUAUACUAUUUGGUAAAACUAUUCUAAUGUGCUUGAUAGCAAAUAAAGGAAGGUGUUAUUUUUUAGCGCAGAUUGAAUGGAGAAAAGAAUCAUUCGAAACCAAAUCACUCGUUUCAGGUCCUGCGUUAACAAGAUGAUUGAUUCAAAACCAAAGCAUGGCAUAAAAUAGUGUUUAAAUACCAGAAUGGAAUUGCAACGGCUCCAAGAGCUGGGCAGAUUUUCCAUAACAGAUGCACAUGCCCAUCCAGCAUUCCACUCAGAUACUCAAGAAUGUCAGUUUCCUAGUUCCAACACAAAAGCCAACUAUGAUGAGCAAUGGAAGAUAAUAUUAUGAAGAUGUAAGAAAGACCUCACACAACACAAAACUGCAAAGUAGCAGACAAUGGUGGUGAGAGAUUUACUUGAAAGGAACGGACACAUAAACUAACAAACAUGUCAUGCUUUUCAAAAUCUGCAUGUACACACAUACUUGGAAGUUAAUAACUAACCUGGCUGAUUGCUUCCUGUUUAGAUCUAAGAGUUGUAGAUUCUCCCUGGAGUAAGUUGCAUACUUCGUGAUAUUGCUCCAAAAUCGUGCGAGAAUCAUAAGAAACUGACACCAAAUGCUCGAUUACAGAAGUCCAUCUGCUUGCAAUGCAUCCUAGUAACAUGAGCUCCUGUUUGAAGAGGGGAAAACCAAUACCCAUAGUGCGAGUACAAGAAAUUAAUAUAUUCAGCUUUCACAGUUAACAUCACGACUUUACCAGGUGAAGAAAUGUAAUGCACACAACACAAUUAUAGACAACGGAAUUGACUACAUGAUAAGGUACACUAAAUUCAAGCACACUAUAUAAUGCCCAUAUGUGCAGAUGUGUGAUAAUACACAAGUCUAUAGCAGCACAUGACCAUGAAACUAGAAAACAAGUAUUCCUGAAGAGAAUCAAGCCUUCAAGGAAUCAAUACAACUUUAAUGUAAUUUGUUUGAGGCAUUGGACUGACUUACAAUUGUUUCGCACAAACCAUCAUCACUGCCUCCUGCUAAAUCAUUGAAGUUUAACUGUGGGAAAAUUUGUACCCACUGAAUCUUAGGGGUAGAAAAUACCAAGCUGGCACCAGAGACCAAUUGAACAGUUCUCUUAUCAAGAAAGUACGAGAGGCUAUCUGACUUCCAGCGGUUCCAUGUCAGACAACCAACCAACCAGUCGACAGUCCUGAAUAAGCAGCCACAAGAUAUUUCAGUUCAGGCCAUAGCAGUGAGAUCCUGAAAGCAUGAAAAUUUAACAUUUUGAUUUCUCAUGUGAAGUAUCUAAGAAAUAUUCAUGACUUAAUUAACUGCAACCCCAGAGAAGUCAAUAAUGUGAGAUACUGUCACUAACAGACUAGACUGUCAACCAAGAAAAAUAAAAGAGACAAGACACUCGCUAUUCUUACUAAUACUACUCUCACACAUAGGAUAGAACUCACUACACCAGCUCAAUGAUUCACUUUUCUAAGAUACAAAUACACACACUCACACAAUUCCACUUACACUGGAGUAUUUUCACACUUCAGCUGCUCUUUCAAUAAGUUAUCAUCAAACUCACUCCAACUGCUAUGUCUGACACUUUGAGAAACAACAUCCAAGCCUGUCUCAACCGUUUCCAUCAAAGAAACCACAGACCACCUCUUCAAGAUCUCAUGAACCGCAUACUUAGUCAAACCAUCACCACCGCAAUCUCCAAACUUUCUAGCCGGCUCAAUGCCUUCCUGAAUUGGUGCAUCCUCCAGCUUCAACUUGUUGAGAUACACAUUCAGAAAAUCACUAUCACUUCCUGAUAACUCCUCAAGAUCCAUCUCCACAGUUGCCGUCAGCAAAGCUCUAAAAUGUGCAUCUCUCAAAGGUAAACUAUGGAUGAGAUGCUCCAACACAAAACGCCGUGCUGUACCAAGAGUCACACUUGACAUAUGUGCAAGACCCUGAAGUAAAACAACUAAUCUAAUAAGACUAGACUUAAAACUUCUCCAUAAACCAAUAAACACCAACCAAAACAUUAACUUGUAAAAAGCUAUAACCUUAGGGAAAGAAGCAGCAGAUGUCAUUUCAGAAAUAGCCCCAUCAAGUUCCAUCACAGAAUCCACAUAAUCAUCAGAGCUGCUAAAGCUCCCCAUAAACUAAUCACACAACACCAAAGAUCAAAACUUUACACCAAAUAGGCUUCAAGAAAUAUGAAUUACCCUUCAAAUUGAAACUUAAUAUGAAUUGGGGGAGAAGUGAAUAGUGAAUACCCACAUUUUCGAAGAAGAGGCCCCACUGAAAAGCCUUCUUGAUAUUCUGGGAGUCCCAGUGAGCGAGACGACCAGAGGAUUGGUACCCAGAAAGCAGAAUCAGUAUAUCGACGAAUCCUUUAACCAGUUUCAUCAAUUCUUGCAAUGAAAGAUCUGGGUGGCUCCAACUCAUCGUCCUCUUGGCCUCUGAAAAGUUUCCCCAGCGCAAUUUGUUGGGUUUUUUUUUGGAAAUUUUCAAGGACUGAAAGGAAGGCCGAGAUGUGUUUGAUGAAAAGAGCGAAUGGGAAAGUGAAUGGUGGAGGGUGCUACUCAGAAUUUGUAAAACCCUUUGAGCGCGGCUUUGUGUUGAUUUGGCUUUUCUGAUUUUCCCGCCCUCCGGCACUUUUCUUUUUUGUUUUUUAUAUCACCCAUUUUCAAGAUUAUGUAUCAUAGGCUCAUAGCUACCUCAAAACUAGGGUUUAGGGUUUUGAUUAUGAGCUACAAGAUUUUACCGAUUAGUGUUUUGGUUUGUACAUUCAUGCACCGAUAUGUUAAGUAUAUCAGUUGUGCAUAAUGGUAAAAUGACUUUAUUUAGUUAUAAACGAAUUAAUUUUCGAUUUAAGUCAGGUAAAAGUUGUACAGAGUUGAUUUGUCAUUAUAGACUCUCAAAAAUAUUGAUAUCUAAUUAUGUGUUUGCUAAUUAACGUGCCAUAUUACUACUACCAUCCAUACAGUUUAAAACAAAUAAUAGUACUCUGGUUUCAGGAGAAAGGGCACAUCCUUGCAUUUCAUGGCGCCACGAGCCACCGUUGCAGUAGUACUCCAAUCUUCCACGAAAUUAUACAUCUAAUACAAAUAUACAUAUGAAUUCGAUGAAUUAAUAAGCAAAAGUGGUUCCUCAUAAAAGAUUCUUUUGUCCCAAGACACGCAUCUCAUCAAAACGAUGGUGCUCAAAUAUACGCAUAUUUCCGGCGGGUCUUUCAACUGGAAUAUGAUAAACUACAUUGUGAUGAUUGCGAAGGAAGUAUGUGCCCGGCCAAAUUUGAUACUUCGGUGCCGAUACAUGUCCGAUGAGAACACCCUGGCUCCAAUAAGGUGCCUCGUGUUGAGUUGCAACACCUACAUCAUGAUCUGAUAAUUGCAUACCAUUACAUGCCUUGCCCUCAUUUUCAUCAUGCUCAUGCUUAUGCUCGUACACAAGUUGGACUGCAAGCUCCUUUAUCAAGAUCGGAACAUACAUGUAGUCGGUAUCCACAGAAACACGUAGUUCUUCCCCACACUCUAACUCGUCAUUCUCAAACUGCCAAUGGCUUAGCCAUGACAUCUUUUCAUUCUCUUUUGGAAGACCUACACUGACAGGGCAAUACGACCACAUAACACCUUUCGCUUCGUUACUGGCUUUUACAAUCGGUGAGGUGCAAAUAUCCUCAAUUUUUCCACGUCUUGUGUAUACGACACAGACAUUUAAGCCUGUGAUCUUGAGUUUAGGAUGGGAAGGAACAAUGAUAGACAUGGCGGUACUUGUACCAAUUAGGAAUCUUGUUUCCAUGAAGGAAAAUGCUGAAUAUACCACAUUCAUACAGACCCUGUUUCAUAUGUUUGAACAAUAUAAACCUAGUUAUUCAAAAACGAUAAUUCUAUAUAUAUAUAUAUAUAUAUAUAUAUAUAUAUAUAUAUAUAUAAAAAUGAGUGUGAGCAAGAAUGUUAGAAUGAGAACCUGGAGGGGACAUGUCCUUGUUGUAUGUGACAUGCAAUUGAACAUUUCAAGCUCAUCGGUGCCUCCAAAGGGUUCCAAAUUGUACAACCCCAUAUUUCUUAUCAUUUCCACAUCAAGCUCGCUGAUCAAUGGCUUUAUACUGAAGAGGUUUCUUACUUCAACUAAUUCGCGACAACCGUGGAGUUUCCAAGUGAAAAUACUUGGUGAAUAUAUUUUCAUUGCUGUACACUUGCUUGCAUUCAAAAAAUUUAAACUUGGUGGAACCUCCGGAAUCAUUAUGAGGUUUGUGCAACUGUAUAGAUUAAGAGACUCGAGCGCAGUAUGACUCUUCAUGUUUCCAGGUAAACUCGCAAAUGGAUUGCCACUUAGAUCCAGCUUCUUUAGUGAGGAGAAGAUGCUAAGAUCGCUGAAAAUCUCUGAUAGAUUGCAAUAAGCCAGGUUCAAGCUUACUAAAGAAUGUGGCAACUGUACCAAUGAGAAACCUGUUGGUUCAACACUUCUGCUUGGUGAUACCCGCGACCAAAUUGAUUGCCAAGAUUUAUUUGAUAACAGGAUGAAGAAAUUCCUCAAAUCAGUAGCUGUAUUAGCAUGAAGAGAAAGGUUUGAACAACCAGAAAGGUUUAGUUCCUGCAGAGAUGUCAACCUGUCAAUUGUUUCCGGGAGCUUCUUGAGAUUUUUGCAGUCUGUGACAUUCAGGAAAACGAGUUUCUCGAGUUCACCAAUGGAGUCAUCAAUCUCAGAAAUGUUCGUGCAACCUUCAAGGAUCACUACCAGGACAAGCACUUUAGCCGACGAAAAAUUUUCGUCGGCCUGUUAUCUUAAUUCGUCGGCUAAGAUCUUAGCCGACGAAGGCUCGUCGGCUAUAGUGUCGUCGGGAAAAGGUCGUCGGUGAUGACUUUAGCCGACGAAAUUUUUUUUUUCGUCGGCUAUAGUCCCACAGUUAGCCGACGAAAAACAUGUCGUCGGUUUUUUUCCCAGACUUUAGCCGACGAAACAAUUAAUAUAUUCGUCGGCUAAAGUGUGUAAUAAAUAAUUAAAAAUAACUANNNNNNNNNNNNNNNNNNNNNNNNNNNNNNNNNNNNNNNNNNNNNNNNNNNNNNNNNNNNNNNNNNNNNNNNNNNNNNNNNNNNNNNNNNNNNNNNNNNNNNNNNNNNNNNNNNNNNNNNNNNNNNNNNNNNNNNNNNNNNNNNNNNNNNNNNNNNNNNNNNNNNNNNNNNNNNNNNNNNNNNNNNNNNNNNNNNNNNNNNNNNNNNNNNNNNNNNNNNNNNNNNNNNNNNNNNNNNNNNNNNNNNNNNNNNNNNNNNNNNNNNNNNNNNNNNNNNNNNNNNNNNNNNNNNNNNNNNNNNNNNNNNNNNNNNNNNNNNNNNNNNNNNNNNNNNNNNNNNNNNNNNNNNNNNNNNNNNNNNNNNNNNNNNNNNNNNNNNNNNNNNNNNNNNNNNNNNNNNNNNNNNNNNNNNNNNNNNNNNNNNNNNNNNNNNNNNNNNNNNNNNNNNNNNNNNNNNNNNNNNNNNNNNNNNNNNNNNNNNNNNNNNNNNNNNNNNNNNNNNNNNNNNNNNNNNNNNNNNNNNNNNNNNNNNNNNNNNNNNNNNNNNNNNNNNNNNNNNNNNNNNNNNNNNNNNNNNNNNNNNNNNNNNNNNNNNNNNNNNNNNNNNNNNNNNNNNNNNNNNNNNNNNNNNNNNNNNNNNNNNNNNNNNNNNNNNNNNNNNNNNNNNNNNNNNNNNNNNNNNNNCGUUAUUAUAAGACAAUAAUAUGAAAGGUGGAGGCGCAUCCCACCAUAUCAAUUCAGAGCAUGACGUACCUUGAUUUGCCAGAGCAUCAACUAUCUUAUUCCCUUCACGAAAAAUAUGAGUAGCCUUGAAAUUCAUUUUAGAGAUUCGGUAUAAGCAAUUCAACCAACGAACUCGAAGAGGCCAAGGAACAAGAGAAGGUCUGCGAAUAUAAUCAAGUACCAAAGAUGAGUCAACUUCCAACCAAAUAUGCUUCCAAUCACGAACCCAAGCAAGCUCAAUAGCUUUAAUAAUAGCCAUUAUCUCCGCUGAAAUUGAACUAAGAAUUUCAAGAUUAGAGGCAAAAGCACCUAGAGAGUGGCCCUUGUAAUCUCUAGAAAGUUCGCCUUAUAUGAAUCUAACUCUCUGGAGGAAAAGUUAUUUGAUAUCCAUGAGAAGAAACCAGGCCGAUGCCUUUUUGAACAAUUCCCAUCAUACUCUUCAGCAUGAUAUCGUUUGUUCUUACUUUUGAAAAUAGUCUUGGAAAGCGUAGUUUCCGUAGUGAUUAGGUUGAGCAUGAGACCCUCAAUAGUUUUUGUACCCUGCGAACAAAUCAGAAUAUUAAGUAAUAGUGCAACUGAACAACAUAAUCACAUAUGCAUACACAUGAAGAUCGGGAAUGUUUCUUACAUAUAUUUUCUCCAAGACAUCAGAUGCAUCCUUCUGCCACACUCUACUACGUUCUCCAGGGUCCUUCGACUCUUCGCGAACAAUUCCUCUUGCCAUGUCAAUAAGUAAUUGAUGCAUGAUUAACCUGUCACGAUCAACUUGAACUAAACAUCGAUUGACUAGAUUUUGAAUUCCAAUUCUUGUAUAAAAUUCAAGGUUGCUCAGUACUGUAAUUGUAAACUCUUUCUCCCUUCCUAUGAAAAAACAUGCUAUAUGAAGGAAUAAACUUUGGUCAUGAGGAUCUAGUCGAGUACCAUAAUAGCUUACUCUUAGAACUUCCUGAACUUUUUCAUCAAGAAACACGUCCAAUUUUGCAAUUGCCUCUUUCCAAAGAUUCACAUCCAGUCCAAACAGAGAAGACCCCAAAACUUGAAUAGCUAACGGAAGACCUCCACAAUGUUGUACUGCAGCUGUAGAAAGCUCCGUGUAGCUUUUGAUAGGAUGGGCUUGUCUAAAAGCAUGCCAACUGAAAAGCUCAAGUGAUUCUUCCUCAUGUAACUUUUCAACCAUGAACAUUUCAGAAAUCCCAUUUGUGAUUAGUAAGUGUUGAUUUCUGGUAGUUAUGAUAAUCUUACUUCCGUGACCAAAAGAUUCUCGCAUUUCAAGAAUUGCACUAAAUUGGUCUGAAUCCUCUACAUCAUCAAGAACAAUAAGAACUCUUUUGGAACGUACAAAUUGCUUGAUCCGGCUCUUUCCUUCAUCAACAUUGUAUAUCUUCUUUGGCUUCCGCUACUGGAUAUCCGAUAAAAGUUGCGUUUGCAAGCGAACCAAACCAUUAGGGUGUUUGGAAGUUGCUCUAAUAUCUGCAAGAAAGCUACUUCCUUGAAAGUUAGCGAAGUUCAUGUUAUAGGCAGCUUUUGCAAUGGUGGUUUUGCCAAUCCCACCCAUUCCAUAAAUCCCAGCUACACCAACAUCAGUUGAUCCAUCUCUUAACCACUUGUUUAUGUCUUUCACACGAUCAUCUAUUCCAAUCGCAUGGGGAGCAACAUUUAGUACUUUGGAUUCGAGUUUAUCUCCAAUGUCCUCAACAAUAUUUUCAAUCAGCUGUGCUUCAUACCUAUUAAAGAUUGAUAAAAAAAAUUCAAAACUUAGGAAGCGCAAUAACGUGAACAAAAUUUACUCUGCUAAGAAAAAUGGGUGCAAGAUUAAUUAAAUUAUUUUAUGUAAUGCUCAAUACAGAUGCAGUAGAUGUCUGAUCAGCGGAUUAAAACUACCAUGACUGAUCUUCUUUUAGAUCUAAAAAAAACAAAGAUAUAGUAUAAUUGUUGUAUAUAGUAAUAUAAUUGACGUUUCUUCUAAAAAAAGAAAUACGUACUGCUCUCCUAAGACCAUCCCUUUCAGUUUGGAAACAUCUCUCAGAGAUCUUCUCCACUCUUCCACCUUGCCAAUCUCAUCCUUGAAACGCUCUUCAACCAGUUUGGCAAAGGCUUUUCCGAAAGUUUCAGUCUGCUUCCCAACAUGGGAUGGUUCCACCUUAUAAAAAACUGGCAAGACCAUGUGUCCAUCAUCUCUAUUACGUUUCAUGAUCUUGGCAAGCUCGUCCAAACACCAUCUUGAGGAAGCAUAAUCCUCGGAAAACACGAUUAGUGAUACAUAUGAUUCCUGGAUAGCCUUCUGCAGCUCUACUGCUAUCUCUGCUCCUCUCUGAAUUUCAUCGUCAUCUCUGAACGUGUGAAUUCCUGCCAACUCCAAAGCUCUAUAGAGAUGAUCGGUAAAUCCCUUGCGUGUAUCUUCACCCCUAAAACUCAAGAAGACAUGAUAGCGGCAUCUGUAAGAGGAAGGAGAAGCAGCCAUUGACAAAGAAAAGAAAAGAAAUAGAACUUACAAAUCACUUAUGAAAUGCAAGAUGUGCGAAGUAUAUUAGAAGACGAAGCUUUUGUAGUACUUCAUAUAUAAUCGCAUGGCUUGUAUAUGAUGUGGACUCGUCCGUUGACCUACUAGUUUUAUCAGCUUUGAUCUUACUUGCUGCAGUCUUAUUUAUGAAAUUGCACAACUUGUUCCUAAAAUUGAAAUGAAGAUAAUCUAUACUACUCUUGCGUGUGAGCUUCAAGGUAUAUGUAUACCUACAACACUUGCCGUAUAUGAUGGUUGGCUUUAAUUAAUUGCUGAUUAGUAAUUUAGUAUAAAUUUAGCAAGUUCAUGUUACUUUGAAAAUCAACUUGUGGGAAACAAAUCACAAAGAAAGCCUAAUGUCAUCAAUUUGUGAGAAAAGAAAUCACAAACAAAACCGUGAUUCCAACUCUGUCCUAACAACCAAAUAGAAUAUUUCUCCGUGAUUACACUAGACUGACUAGACUAGCUAGUUAUAUUCACAAUAGACUAAUCUAAGAAGACUAGACUUAAAACUUCACCAUAAACCAAUAACACUAACCAAAACAUUAAAAUUGUAAAAAGCCUUAGGGGAAAGAAGCAGCAGAUGUCAUUUCAGAAAUAUCCCCCAUCAAGUUCCAUCACAGAGUCCACAUAAUCAUCAGAGCUGCUAAAGCUCCCCAGAAACUAAUCACACAAAAGCUCGCCAGAAACUAAUCCCCAGUUUAGGGUUUUUGAUUAUGAGCUACAAAAUCUUACCGACCUGUGUUUGUUUUUGUUAAAUUCAUGUACAUCGCAUCAUAGUAGGUUUUCGUUCAUUUGCCAUUAUAAACCGUUAAGAAAGUGUAACAAGUUGGUUUCUAAUUAUGUGUUUCGCUAGAUGUUACUAUUUCCGAUUGCUUAUUUUGAAAAUAUAUCUUCCACACUUACAAGUUACAACCAACUUCUUCAAAUGUAUUUGCUGAAACUUGACCUUUGUAUGUUCUAAAGUGGUACCGAUUCAUGAUGAGUUAUAAUCGAGUUUAUUCUGCAUCAUGAAAAUGUUAAAGCUAGCGCUACUAUUUGAUGAAGACCAUAUCUGAUUUUGCUUAGCAAUACAAGAUUUAAGGUAAAGAAAUAAUUGACUAUUACUAAAAUUUUUGGGUCAAAUGCUAGGCUCAAAUGGAAAACAUUGAAUCUAAAAUGAUAUGAUUCAAAUGCAACGAAUACUAGAAUGCAGUAAUGAACAUACCAUGCUACAUCACCAGAACCUUGCAUAUAAAUUAGAGCUAGUCCUUUCUCACUUUGCACCUCGAUCAUCAUAUACAAUAUGUGUAUAUGAGCAUUGGUAUGAAGAACUCUAUUGUUUUGUUCAUCUUCGUGGCAAUAUUCACGGCCUUGAAUGACCGUGGAAAUGCUGCUCCCCCGAGCAAAUACCACCCAGCGGGUGUCGACAGGUGGUACAUCCACGUCGUCAAUAAACUCGGGGGAGGUAGAUGGCUCGCCGUUCAUUGCAAGUCCAAAGAUGACGACCUCGGGAAUCAUGAUCUAGCACCAGGGCAGGACUAUUGGUUUACGUUCAAGUCAAACUAUUGGGGAACCACGCUUUUCUGGUGCACCCUGCGCACCGAAAAAGAAGACCCUGUAAAACAACAUGUUGGUUUGAAAGUGUUUUGGCAGGAAUGGCUACAUGUUUGGCUCACGUAUCAUUGUGGCCAAAAAGAAAGGAAAUGCUUCUGGAUUGCAAAAGAUGAUGGGAUUUACCUGAGAGUCAAUCCUGAAAAUCGUGAUGAAUUUGUUGUUAAAUGGGAAACGGGGUGGUAAUUCAGCUAUAUCUAUCUCUAUUGUAAUAAAGCAAGGUCGACUGACUCGACUCUUGGAUGAUUCAUUUUCGAAUUCGAGAUUUAGGUAAUAAGACCCCUUUAUCAGCUACGAUCUCACUCCUUUAUGUAACUACAAACUUGUUCCUAAGAUUGAAAUGAAGAGAAUCCAUAAGUGUGCAUUUGAGCCUCAACGUAUUUGCAUACCUAAUUACCUACAAGUCUACAACUCUACGUUGCAUAUAAAUCGCGAAGUAAUCGUGAUUGCAACUCUUUUCUAUUACAACGGAAUUGAAUGUGUUGAGAAAUUCUAAGGAGAAGGCGGCAUCAAAUAGGCUCAAAUGAACCUCCUCAUAAAACACAACAAACUUGACAUCACACAAAUCAUAAUGACCUCUAACUGGAAUGAGGCCCAAAUUGCUAAUAGAAUCAAGGAAGUUUAACUGGAACCAUUCCAAUUAAUUGGUAAAAUGUUGCAAUGAAGUCCAUAAGUGAUAAUAAGGCAUUUUAAGCUCAAAAAUUCAGGCCAAUCACUCGAACAUGGCUCUUUCUCGUCAAUACAAAAUGCAAUUUCAAUCUCAACCAGAACAUACUAAACACAACCUCAUCUAGAGGACAAUUUAUUCCAUCAGCUUCAAUUCAUUCAAUUCACACCAUCCACAUAAUGAAGAAUUGAAAAGAACAAAGCUAUAAAAUACAUAUCAUCUCGAACCAUAACACUCGAGCAUGACAUGCAAUGCGUUUCACCAAAGCCGCUUGCCUAGAUGUAGACACUGGAGUGGUUAUGUUCACAAUAGACUUAGCAAUAGCAAUCUCUAUAUGAACAAUAUCAAAACAGAUACACUGUCUUGCUAAUAUCCCAUAUAUAAAGUGACUACCAAACACCAGAUAAAGCUCCUUCCUGUCUUUCCACUAGCACUCAAAGGGAAAGCUAUACCACUACACAUUGCGUACUCUCCACACAAGCCAUACACAAAACCACAUCCAAUUGUCAAAUUGUUCUUCCUCACGACUUCAUUACUACACUCUGUGACCAAUAUCGAGCAAAGAUGCAAAAUCUUUACCAUGUUCACCAACACAUUUACUCAAACCCGCACAGUAAAUCUCUAACAUACGACUAACCAAGCAAGCAUAAAGCAGAACUCGAAUUGCAAAAACCGAAAGAACAAAAACCAACACAAAAAUUCCGAAAAACUCAAAAUUUAAGCAUAACUGAGAUUAUCCAUCACAAUAUAACAUCCGAAACAUAAUAAUAAGUCUUCCUAGAUAAUAAUCCAACACCGAAAAACAUAGAACCAAAAUCAAGACCUACUACUCUUACUAUGACUCCUCAGACAAUAGCAUUGGCAGCGCUGGCGAUUCUGGGCCAGAGAUCCGCGCACUCCUUCCCGAUCGGCCCAGUAAUCGCCGAUCCCUUCAUCUCUCCCUUGGGGUUCACAAUCACGCCGGCGUUGUCCUCAAAGUACAUGAACACUCCGUCCUUUCGGCGCCACGGCUUGCGCUGACGGACCACCACGGCCGGCAGCACCUUCUUCCUCAGAUCCGGCUUUCCUUUCUUCACGGUGGCCAUGACCAUGUCGCCGACGCAGGCCGACGGCAGACGGUUGAGGCGCCCCUUGAUCCCCUUGACGGAGAUGAUGUAGAGGUUCUUGGCUCCGGUGUUGUCGGCGCAGUUGAUAGUCGCCGCCACCGGAAGACCCAGCGACAUCCGGAACUUGUUCCCGGCCGAUCCUCCCCUCCCUCGCUUCGACAUUUUCUCUCUUUCUCUCUCUACCGCCGCUCAGUCUCAGUCUUGAACUGAUUUGCUAGGGCGUUUGAUAUCUGCUAUUUAUAUAGCUAGGGUUUGCCCAUUUAGUUACGCCAAGAAACGACGUCGUUUUGUAGAAUUUUUGGAUUUCCGACACGUGUCAUUGGCUUGAUUCCCAGCUUGCUAUGCGCUCCCUUGGUUUUACAUAGGUCCAUUAGGUUUUACUUUUACCUAGUGCUAAUUUACUCUCGUAAAUUUUUGUGAAUUUUUUCACUAUUGAGCUGGCCGCACCGAAAAGCGGUUUGCCCAAAUGUUCGGGUUAGCUCAUAGAAAUGAGGAUAUGGUUCGCAAAAUAGCCAAAUCGAAUAAAAUGGAUUGGUUCCAACUUAGGUCUUAACCUGUUCUACGCGUGACCACCUUAUUAACCGGUGUUCUCCAACUAGAUUAAGGUUCAAAGAACACCAUCUCGUACUCACCACAUUAACCGUGCUCAGCUUUGAAGGUUAGAUGGUCCAAAAGCUCUCUUCUCGAGAAUAGCAAGAUUAUUAAAGAAACAUUCAAAGCUAUGAGGUGGUAAACGGGCUGCAAAGCACGAACACGACACGAGCACGUCACGUUUAAAAGCGGCCCGGCACGGUCCAAACCCGUUAACGGCCCGGCUCGGUCUAAGCACGUUAUUCUAAUGGUUCGGGCUGGGCCUUGAAAAAUGAGCCCAUGGGUCCGGCCCGGCCCGAGCACGAUAAUUUGAGGCCCACAGCCCGGCCCGCUAUAAAAUAUAAUUUUUUUCCAUUUCUAAUAUGAAGAUAACAUAUUUAUAAAUAAUAAAUUUAGUUUUGAGUGUGAACAAUAAACUUAUAUACUAAUAAUUAUUUAUUUGAGUAUGAAUUUAGAUUCCCUUAAACUCGUAAAAAGUUUUUGCCUAAAAAUUUAUUAAUUGUGAACAAUAAGCAUUUAUCACUUAUUUCUUUAGUUGUUGACAAAAAAAAAAAAUGAUUGAUAGAUUGUGUGAAUUAGUUUUGGUUUGUAAUCAUAUCAUGUAUAAUUAAAAGUUGAGAUUAUGAGAGUAGAAGCGGUGGUAUAGGACAUUCACCUUGACUAUUUUUAAUUUUCGACACGAAACGGGCCGGACACAGCCACGUUCAUAGGCCUGGCCCGAGCACGGCCCACCACAUUAUGAGCUUUGGCCAUGGGUCGGGUUGGGCCUUACAUUUGAGUAAAUGGGUUGGCCCAAGCUUGAGCCCAUUAAGAAGUGGCCCGUCAUGGAUCGGCCCAAACAUGGCCCGAAACCCGAUUAGACGAACCGGGCCAGGCUGGGCCGGCCCGUUUGCCACCUCUAGCUACGAGCGAUCUGAAUGAUUGCCCCGAGUCUUUCAAAGAUUGCCUCAUUUGUAUUGGACGCAGUCAAUCAUUCUUCCACCAAGAUUUUGUUGAAGUUAUUCUCUUUGUUAUAAUUAGUCUUUCUCUUAAAGCAAAUGAUUCUAGCGAGGUUUUUGGCACACACUUUGAACCUACCACAAUAAGAAUGCCAUAUCGGUCUCAAUAAUGAAACCGAUUACUGAAUACAUUGCUUGAUUCACUGAAUCAUCAAAUUAGAUUUUGUAAUUAUCAAGCGGUGAACAAUCUCUGCUUAAUGAUGACACACUGGUUUUUGUUUUUUUUAUCUACAUGUAAACUUAUGAAUCGAAUGGUAAUGAAUGGAUAGAGAGACAUAAAAUCUUCACUUAAUUCUAUACGCACCUAUAUAGUUUCUUCAAGACUUACGUCAAUCAUUCAAGAUAUAAGUUUAAGUUGUACCAAAUUGUUUGUACACAUGCUUAACAAUUUUGCCAAAUUUUGUACCCGUGAGAGUUUCAUUAACCCCCCCAUAUUCGUGUUGAUGAUGUAGGUCUGUAGUUUUGUACCUACUAAACCCACACAAAAAUGAACUGCUCUUCAGCUUCGCUGCUGAGCUCCUCCUUCCUCCCAGCUCCACCACCCAACACCAACACCUCCUCCUCCUUCAAACUCCCCCAAUCCAAACCCAACCGCCGCCACGUCACCGCUAAAAUGUCCCUCAACAAACCCCCAGACCCAACCUCCCUCCUCACCUCCGUCACCAACCUCCUCUGGGGCCCAUCCCUCCCUCCGGGCCUCCUCAUCUCCACCGUCCGUUCAGCCUGGAACACCACGUGGCGCCUCAUGAUGUCUCAGCUCGCCCCCUCCGACCCCUCCCUCGCCUACACCCGACCCCCUUCCCGCUUUCGCGCCACCCAAAUCCCCCGCCAAAACCGCACCUCCCUCCACCUCUACGUGGGCCUCCCCUGCCCCUGGGCCCACCGCGCCCUCAUCGUCCGCUCCCUCAAGGGCCUCGAAUCCGCCGUCCCCGUCUCAAUCGCCUCUCCGGGCAACGACGGCUCCUGGGAAUUCAAAACCACCCGCGACCCGGAUCCGGAUACACUCGACCCGACCCGGGACAAAGCCAACGGGUACAAAACCCUGAAGCAGGUCUACAAAUCCAGACCCGGCGGGUACGACGGUCGGUCCACGGUGCCGAUGCUAUGGGAUUCAAACAACAAAGAAGUAGUAUGCAACGAGAGCUACGAUAUAAUCGAGCUGUUCAAUUCGGGUCUAAACGAAAUGGCCCAUAACCCGGGUUUGGAUCUUUCACCGCCUUCUUUAAAGCCAAAGAUUGAAGAAUGGAACAGCAUUAUCUACCCCAAUGUAAAUAAUGGAGUCUAUAGGUAAAUCCCUUGUCCUAUUUUUACCAUUGGUUAAAUUUAUAGUAAUUAGUAAGUGACGUUUUAUUUAUGCAGGUGUGGGUUUGCUCAGUCACAAGAAGCGUAUGAUGUAGCAGUGAAUGACUUGUUCAACACGCUAGACAAGUUGGAGGAUCAUUUGAGCCGAUUUCGCUACCUCUGCGGAGACGAGCUGACGCUGGCCGAUGUCUGCCUCUUCACCACUCUCAUCCGGUUCGAUCUCGCCUACAAUGUCUUGUUCAAGUGCACCAGGAGGAAGCUGGUCGAGUAUCCCAACCUUCACGCUUACAUGCGUGACAUUUACCAAGUACAGUGCUGCCCUGUUCUUCACCCUCUGCUAUUUUAACCGUCUUAGUUUUCGAAUUUGGUAGUAAUCCGAUUUGUUGAUAUAUUGUCAACAGAUUCCAAAGGUUGCAGAAACUUGCAAUUUUCAACUGAUCAUGGAGGGCUAUUACAAAACCCUUUUCCCGCUCAAUCCGGGCAGCAUUCAGCCUAUCAUUCCUGUUGGAUCCGAGCAUCAAGAACUACUGAGACCACAUAACAGAGAUUCGUUGUGCCUUAAAGGCGCAAGGGAAUCAGCAUCGACACUUUCAGUUUCUUAAGAGAUACGGCGAGGCAGUACAUAUGCCUACGUGAACCUACGAAAUAUGUAAUGACUGUGUUUCUUUCGAGGUGCAUGUGAGCUGUAUAUUUUGGUGAUGCAUAAUUGCAUAUAUAAUGUCAACAUUACAUAAGCUAAUCACAAACAAUUCUAAGCAAAAGAUUUCCCCCUUCAGAAUUACUGAAUAACAAGAGCAGCAUAUACUGGUAUCAGACGUUAAAACUAUCACAAAAGGCAUCGGAUCGUGAACUGGCCUAAACAUGUACAAAACCUACAAGAGCAUCCAAAUGAUCUACCAUAGCAUUACUUCAUGCGCAACCAACAUCGAUGCAGUAGCCACUACUGACAAACAGGCACUGUUAGGACAGCCAGUUGAAACCAAAACUAGUCCAGUAAAAUCUGCUUAGUUAAUAAUUCUUCAGGGAGGGAAAGGCCAUGCCUUGAAGCACUCAAAAUAGUCUCAAAACUCAUCUUGCAAGUGAGGCAGAUCUAGAUCCUGUAAUGUCGAAAUGAAAAUGAAGGUUAGCAUCAGGAUCAAAAUGUAAUUAUAACAACCAACAGAGAGUGGCUCAAUCAAUUACCAAAUUUAAUGAAAACUUCAACUCUGAGGUAUAGAACAGAUAUUACAAAAAUGUAUCGUGAUAAAUGGUAAAAAAAACUAAAAAACUGUCACAGCAUAGGCAGAUUUUCUGUACACUUACUAUUCGAUCGUGUCAUAUUCCUGCAGAAUUUACUACCACAUUGGCAGUUGAACACCUUAACAGGAUCAUCAUGGUCGUCAAAGUCAAUGCCAUAAUCCUGCAGACAGAGCAUGAAUAGCAGACUUUAGUGUGGAGUUGUGGGCACAUUUCAACUUGAAUAAGAUUUUCCAACAUAUAAUUUACUGAAACUUGGGACAACACACUGUUUCAUUCAUCAAUCAUUCAAGUGUUUGAAAUUGAUGAUAUUAAAUCUCACUGUGUCCUCAUCAGGGAGACCAACAAUAUGCAUAGCUUAAAACUUUGAAAGAUAAAAUUUUGAAAGAGCGUGUUAGUAAACCACCAACAACCAAUACUGUUAAACCUACUCACCCAUGUAAGCUCUUCCAAGGCAUCUACUUUUCUUGUUGUGAAGAAAGCAACCUGGACAAUAUGGUAAAUCAUAAAAAUAGAAAUAAUUAUACAUUCAGAUGAACAAAAAACAUACAAAUGAAGGAUCACAAUUCCCAUACAUGAUAAAAGCAACGAUCAGGAGUCUCGACUUCAACUGGGAUCAGAACCAAGUUUGCAUCCAAACAUCUAGUAGAAUACAAAACAUGUGAGAUAUUCGGAAGCUUAAAUCAGAAUUAUGAUAAAAGAAAGAGACACACACACACACAUAUGAUAAUAUCACCUCUGAUGGUAUUUGAAGACAUUUUCCCAACAUGAUCUUAACAGGAUUCACAUUUACCAACCAAAAUAUUCACUGACCCUUGCUAUUUAACGAGUGUUUAAUUCUAGAGGUUUAUAGCCACUUCAUACAUUCAAAUGUGAACUCUUGCUAUUUCUCCUUAAUAAGCAACUGGAAUAAGUUCAAGCACAUAUAAAAACAAGGUAUCAAGAAUUCCUCAAGUUUCAUGAUUUCUACUAAAGCAUUUAUGUUAUUGUUGCAAACAAAGCAUAACAGAUCAUAAGAAUUAAGGAUAUGAAUAGCUGAACCAAAAAUGAGAUGUCUGCAGGGCAAAUGACAUGUCUGUGAACUUCAAACUUACCUGUGAUUAAUAAACCUAGCAACAUUUCCAUAUUUUGUUGCAUCCAAACAAAGAGCGUCUUCAUCUUUCAAAUUGGAUUUAGUACCCCAAUUUGCAUCCAGUAAUACCGGAUAAGGACGUUUCCCACUUCUGGUGCUUUGGAUUUUCCUUUGAUGCCGCUCUUUGUUGGUUAAUAUUUCACCGACAAACUCGCACACAAACACACCUUUUGGCAGGUCAUCUAAGGUUCGAAGACCCCAUCCUUUCCCUUCUCGAGUAAAAAAGACCUGGGAUACAUGGGGCGAAUUAAUUAGAGAAACUGUUAGAGAACUAAAGUAGUGCAGAAGCAAAUCUAUAACUCCACAGAAUAUAGCAUUACAACUUAGAAAACAAUUUACUUGUAAAAACUGACAAUACAGAACAAGAAACACAAAACUCCAAUAAACGACAAAUAUAAUAGUAUUGCACAGAUUUCCACCUGCAAGUUGCAAUUUAAGCCUCUCUGGACUACCCUGUUGCCACAUUGCCCAUGACAGCCACAUUUGAUCCAGCAUUCUUUGAUGAAAUUCCUCCUUAAAUGGCCUUUGCAUGACUCUAAACAAUCGUCAUUCUUUAUUCUUUCAAGCGGGCAGGUCUUACAGUAGAAGAGAUGGUCUGGCUGCGGAUUACGUGUCAUAGAGAUACACUCUUCCAAGAGAUCAUCUUUAAUGAGGCCUUCUGGUGUGUAAGCAAACUUACCCCCAGUUUGAUGUGCACAUGCACAAGGUGUAGACGCUGAUACACAAUCACCAAAGCAAGUUGCACAACAAUUCUUGUCUUCAAUGCUAGAUAGACAUAUUUUAAGAUCAGCAUCUUUGGAGACAAUGUUUUCGGAGAUAUAGAAGAAGGAUGGUGGACGACUCCUGCUCCAUUCAUUUACCCAUGAUAUUUUGACUCUUUCUUCUCCUCUAGCUAUAUCAUUUAUAUCAUGAAUAGUCCUUAGAUCAUCAGGAGUUAGGUCAGAGUUUUGAACAACCACCAGACCCAGAGAGUCUUCCACGUUAUCCUCAGAAAAUCCAUUAGAAACAAUAGAACCAGAGACUUGUGGACAAUCACCAUUCAAAGGGAAGGGAACUCUUGGCACUUCAGGAUCAGUAACAGCAUCCCAAGCAGGAGAUUUUGGCAAUGAAUCCAGAUUUGGUACUACAUUAAUUGGUCCAUCCUGUGAUUCAUCAUUAGAAUUAGUUGCCAAUUCCAAGAAGCUCUCACACAUAUGUCCCAACAGAUUUUUCAAAGAGAAGUUAGGGUCAGUGAUUCUGUACGUGUGCAGACAUUUUUCCUCUGUGAGUUUUAGAAUUGCAUCUAGAUUAGGCAUAUGAAAACCUGGUCUUCGAAUAGCUGAACUGCAACUCAGAGAAAGCUUUACCUCUCCUGAAGGUGACGAGGCAACCUCUAAGCAAGAAGAUUCCCCUAAGUUAGAAGGAGUGCCCUCUGGAAUAGUUGCAAGCUCAUUAUUCAUACUCCCCUCAUUAGAUAAAGCUGGAAUAUCAUUUCUACUUUCUCUCUCUUGGGAAGCCACAAGUUCAGCAUGUUGGAUUCCAGUUGCACCUUCUGUUGAUAAAGGAGGAUUUACUUGACUUGAUUCAUCUGCACAGGUUGGAUCAGGACAAAGAUCACUAUGAGAAGAUUAUUCAAGGCGCUAAUAAUAGAAAAAAGAAGGUUCAGCCAUUUGGCCUUUCAUGUUAACAACUCGCAGUCAUUGACAUACUGAGUGUACUGUAUACAUAUUUUUAGUUCCUAGUUCGAACAAUCUAUCUUUUAAUACCCACGACAACACAAUACAAGUUAUACAACAGAAUCAAAGAUGUACCUGGAUGGAUCACAGCAAUGGGCACCUCGUCUUGGGCCAUGUCAUCAGUGAAGGGCUCAUCUUUAGGCUCAAUUAAUGCUAAACUGUUAACAUUCUGUUUAGGCAAAAGAACAAUCCGUGGUUCAACCACUGUCUCUUUAAAGCGAACACCAUUAGAUGAACGUUCUGAUAAACUCUUCCCUUGCAGUGCCAACGGUUUAGAUAUAAGAGGUUGCUUGCCCUUAUCUUUAAUACCAGACUGAAGAGAAACAGGUGGCCUUGACUCGGGUGAAUGUGAAGUAUUUUGGGGCUGCUGUGCAGAACGAGCAUCAAGUAGUUCCUCUGCCUCCACUUUUGGCUUUAUGAGCAAAGUACCACCAGACAUAGGAUUGCAGGUAUUUGAGGAAGGUGACACCUGACACUCUUGAUUUUGUAGGCGUAACCUUUUCAAGGGACGAUGAGGAACCAAGAAAUCUUCCUCUAUAUUAUCCACCAGCUAUACAAUAGAGCAAAAGGUGUAUUAGCAUAUAUAAGUAGAAGGGUGGAAAUGCAAAAGCAGCAGGUAAUGGAGCCAAGUGCACAUACUUCUUCAUCUGGAGAUUUUUUCUUCUGUGAUGAACUCUCAUCUUGACUUCUUGAACGUAACCUUGUCAAUGGAAGUUCAGGUUCAAGGUUGGGCUGUGAUUCUGCGUCAAUAUCUUCCUGCUGAUAUUUCACAGAUAUGUCAAAAACUAUAGCCUUUAAUUUUUCUAAAAUGAGAAGGUAUAGCAGGAUAAUGAAACAAAAAAAGAAAAGAAGUUAAAAUUACAUACAUCAUAAUUGUUGCAUUUCUUCUUUUCUGCCGCAACCUAACAGAUGAAACAAAAAUUAAGUACUCAUAAGAAUAACAAAAUACACAAGGAUAGAGAUGGAAUAUGCCUCACAAUCGAGAAAAACAUAACACAUAAACACACACACACACCUUAGCAUCUUCUGCCUCAAAUAUAGCAUCAGCAAGAGCUCUAUAUUCCUCUGCUUCAAUCAGUGACCAAUCUUUGUUAUAUAACUUCAAGAGAUUCUUCAAAACUGGUUUAAUCUGUUGUUCAGUGAGACCAAUAGCUGUCAUUGCCUGAAAGGCUUUUGCAACUUGUGGACUUGGUGGUGCCAUCACCGUCUAAUGUGUCCACUUGCCACUGAAGUUAACUAUGAGCUUCCCAAAUACCAAAUGUGCCUAUAUUUUCCAACAUUUUUCAUAGGAUAUGAUCAAUAUGAGUCUAAAACACUACAUAUGCAACACUUAUGAAUCCAGAUAAACACCAAAUUCACUAACAGGGUCCUAGUUCCACACAUAAAACAAAUUUUCACUUGUCACUGUCUAGCCAGCCUAAACUACAUAACCAGACUCUAAACCAUGAAAAGUAAUGCAUCUUUAUACUACCGAAAACCACGGCCAGGACAACAUGAAACUGAGCCACAUGUACAGCCCAUUCAAAAUCAAAAUUUCUAAAAGACAAACCAUUCAUCCAUUAUAUGAACAAAUAGAAUAGUAAUUUCAAAAGCUAUCAAAAACUUCACACACAGACCCAGAUGGCAAACUCUCUCCACCCCUCACACCCAUAGCUCUCAGAAUUGCAAAGAAAAUAAAAUUACAAAGAAGAACAUGAACCAUAGAUAUACAUGCAUGCAAAAUAGAGCACAAAAAUACACAAGAAAAAAAAUUAAAAACUUACCAAAACAAAAGUCUGGAGCUUGAUUCAAGCUAUCAAGACCUGAAAAUCACCCAUAACAACAACAGUAAAAUUCACAACCAAAAUUUAACCCACAAUUCUCAAGAACCAAACUUUGACCUACAAUUCUCAAGAACCAAACUUUAAGACCAGAGCAUCACAACCAGCUCAAACAAUGCACCCAUAAAACGAUGGAAACCAAAGCCCAAAACGCAGAGCUUGAAAUAUUUUGGAAAAAAUUACAAGAAACAGAGAAAAAGAAAACGUUUUGGGAGAAGUGAAAAAUGGGAAAUUGGUUAAAAGAAGAUGAAAUUAGGAAGAUGGGUAUUUGAGGAUUACCAGCAUUUUGAAGAAAUUGGGAGACCCAGAAACAGAGAAUGUGAAUUGUGAGAGAGUGAGGAGAGGACUGAGAAUUAUAGGGUUUUAUGAAUUUAGAAAGGGAGGAGGUCAGGUCCUUCUCUGACUAUUCUGAUGCAGGCGCGUGACCACGCGCAACUAGGCGCGUGGGGGAAAGGACUCGGUUUGACGAGCAUACCACUCAGGAUGGCAUUCAUGAUGCGCUUGGUGGGGUGAGAAUUUAAAACGCCACGUACGGUAAAUAUUUAUUUAGCUCUUUGGCUUUUUGGUACAUAAUUUAUUGUGAAAGAUUUUUUUAUUUUUUUUAUGAAUCGGGUACAGCUAGUUUUUGGUGACUCGAACUCAAAAUCACUCAUUCACUGAGGAGAGAUUUUUGUUAUCGGGCAAUUUAUUGUGAAGAUUGAAUUGUUGUUUUUUUUUACUUAAUGAGUUAAUGUUAGAGUAUGCUCUUGAUGCUGAAUUUCUAGCUUUACUUGCAGCAAUUCCUAUUGCCUAUUCACACAAAUGAUCAUAGGCACAAGCGAGCAUGCAAUAGUCCUCAAUGGAGUGAGUCAUGGUAGCUCAUCCUGUUAUAUGCAUCCCUUUUAUAUCUCCACCCUAAACGCUGCCGUUUUGUACUUCCCUUAUAAAUCCCCACCAAAUCAACGUCAUAGACAUUUCAAUUCUUCCUCUGCAAAUCUGCAAUGCAAAGAUUCGGGCUUCUCCGAGCUCUCUGUUGGAUCUCAGGCUCGUCGCUCUGCUUCGAUUCGGGCUCAAAAGAUCCGACCUUUUCAACGUGUCGGUGAUUUACCAUAUCUCUUCUCCAAGUUUAUAUGUUUAAAGAUUCAAUUUUUAUGGAUUCAAUAUACUAGAUCGGCUUGAAUAUUCAGUACCCACAUGUCAGAUUUCGCUAUGAAGCUUUACCCUUUUCAUUUUGGCUCAUUUGCCUUCCUGGGUUUCAGUCCUCCACUGUUUCUAUAGCUGUUUGAGAUUAUUGAACAUCUUGUACUACAUUUUGGUAUUGAAUUUUGGUUUGGGGGUGUUUCAGUUAGUCACAAUGUCUGCGAUUAGAGUUGAUCCUAAGCAGUACUACGCCACUAGUAGUCUUCUGAUUGGCUAUGCACUAUGUUCUAGCUUGUUAGCUGUGAUAAACAAGUUUGCCAUCACCAAAUUCAACUACCCUGGUCUUUUGACCGCUCUGCAAUACCUCACUUCUGCUUUGGGGGUUUGGGUUUUGGGCAAGUUGGGGUUUUUGCACCAUGAUGCAUUCACAUGGGAAACAGCUAAGAAGUUCUUGCCCGCUGCUCUUGUGUUUUAUCUUGCCAUUUUCACCAACACUAAUCUGCUUAGACAUGCCAAUGUGGAUACUUUUAUAGUGUUCCGGUCGUGUACGCCUAUUUUGGUUGCGCUGGCUGAUACGGUGUUUAGGAAGCAGAAGUGCCCGUCGAAGCUUACAUUUCUGUCUUUGUUGGUGAUUUUGGGUGGAGCUGUUGGCUAUGUGGCCACUGAUAAUGGGUUUACUUUGACUGCUUAUUCAUGGGCGUUUGCGUAUUUGGUGACCAUUACUACUGAGAUGGUGUAUAUUAAGCAUAUGGUGACGAAUCUCGGGUUGAACACUUGGGGUUUUGUGUUGUAUAACAAUUUGCUGUCAUUGAUGAUGGCUCCGCCGUUCUGGAUCAUUACAGGGGAGUAUGUUGAGGUGUAUGCUGCUUUGGGAUCCAAGACUGACAACUUCUUUGCACCUGGUGCAUUCUUUGCAGUGUCAUUGUCAUGUGUGUUUGGUUUGCUCAUCAGCUUCUUUGGGUUUGCGGCGAGGAAGGCAGUGUCUGCAACAGCGUUUACAGUGACUGGUGUUGUUAACAAGUUUCUUACAGUUGCUAUCAAUGUCAUGAUAUGGGAUAAGCAUGCCAGUCCCUUUGGUUUGAUCUGCCUCCUAAUGACAAUCGUUGGUGGUGUCUUUUAUCAGCAAUCAGUAACUGGACCUAGCAGUGCCCCAUCAAAGGGUGAAUCAUUGUUGCCUAAGCAGACUCACAGUGAGAACGAUGGUGAUGACUUUGAAAAUGAAAAUCAAGGAGUUUCUAGUAAACUAGUCAUAUGAGAAUUCCUAUCUUUGCAUGAUCAUUUUUUAGCUGCUGAAGAGGUAUUGUAUCUUUGAAAAUUAUCUUAAAGGCUGUAAUUUACUGGUUAUAUUUAUAUGCACAAAGUAUAAUGUUACAAUAUGAUAACUGAGAGAACUACAGCUGCUUUGUCACUAGUGAUAAAUGAUAAAGCUCUUUCCUUUUCAUCUGGCAAAAAAAAAAGAAAAAAGAAGCUGUUAUAUGCAUAAGAAUGAAUUCAGUAGCAAAUAGCAACAAGAAUGAAACAGAAAGAGUAGAUAUAUGACAUCCUUUGCAGCAAUUAUAUAUUUCAAUAUCAUCAGUUGCUGCACUAUUCUGUUUCUAUAUUAGCUAAUUAUAUCUCUUGGCUUGGAAAACAGUGAGAAACCCCCAAGGAGUAGCUAAAAAGAAAUAAGAUGUUCUAUUUACAAAGGUUCAAAUUGCAGACAUGAAACUGUGUUAACAGUCUAGCACCCAUUGCAGCAAACCAGCAAGGAAAUGCCAGUUCAAUAGUAUUGAAAAAUGAUACCAAUCCUAACAAAGGAUAGCAACGGUACGACACUCCUAACAAUGUCAAGACUCAAAACACAUUCUGGUACAACAAGACACAAGUCUGGAUGUGGAGCAGAGUCAUAAGAGCUCUCAGAACACAUAAAUAUGACCCUGGAUGUGGAGCACUUAUGACUCUGCUCCAUAUCCAGUGCUGUAACUCACACGAGUCUUUCUGUUUACAUGUCAGAUGGAUAUAACUCAAAAGCUCUCCAAUUGCAUAAAUAACAACUUAUGACAUAGCUAAGCUAGAUACCUUUGAAAAGGCCAAUGCAGAAACUUUGAAAGAGAAGAAAGCUAGAUACCUCUGAGCUCUUCAUAAGUGAGGUGGUGAAUUUAACUCACAAAAUACUAUGUUAACCAGGCUAUGCCUUCCGGGACUUACAUGCAACUAUCGUGGCAUGACAUAGAGGCUUAAAGCAGCGGAUUGUGAAGUUUAAUUUGUUUAAUAUCUUUAAAAAAUCUUCAAUGACGAGAAGUUCAUAAUAAUCCACCCAAAGAACACCAAAGCCACCAUUGAAAUAAGGAGGAACAAUCAAAAGCUAACCCUAUGUAACCUUCAUAUUAACAUAUGAAAACAGUUGUAACCGGUGAUGAGAUCACAAUGCACUUCUUGAUUGCUUUGAUUUCAGGCUGUGUAAUUCAACUUCACCAAUAACCAUGUCAGUAGAAAAUUUUCAUGAGCAUGUUACACGUAAGUAUUACACUACACUAUUACAUACAUAUAAUGCCUUGUGAAGUAGACGAAUGCCCAAAUGCUCAACACACUAAUGACUCUAUGACCAAUUGUUGAUGACCCAAAACUGUCAAGUCAUCUACGGCUAACACAAAAGUGAAAUGAAAACAGUAGAGCCAUCUCAGACCUUAAGUCUUCUCUAUGAACCUAGACUUGAACUUAAAAAGAGCACAUAACAGCGAAUGAAGCAAUCUAACAAAUUGAUCAUUCAUGGGGAAGGUGGUGCCGGCCUGCCGGGUCAAUAUUUAUGAAUGCCUCAACCUUUGUAUGGUUUGAAGAAAAAUAGGGAUAUUUUGCAAUCUUGUGGGAAUGAAUGCCACCCCAUCUUGUUCACUAAGAAAUCCAUUAUUCCCGUAAUUUUCUUCUCAGACCUGGCCAUUAAGAGCAUCUCUAACAGAUUCCCUAAAAUUUCUCUAAAAUGGGGAAGCAAAAGCCAAAAUUUUCAAAAAAUUUAUGCUCUAACUCUAACAGUUUCUCCAUUUUGGAGAUUUCAGUAUUUAUUACAACAAUAAAAAAUGCUACAUGAUUAUUAAUAAUAACAAAAAAAAAAUCAUAUAUUUCAUUGUAACAUAAAUUACCCAAUAAAAUAUUCUAGAUUUUUGUUCUUAUCGUUGGAGCACGUGAAUAAUUAAUAUUUGGAGAAGGAAUGUUUUGCUGCAAAUUUGGGAAAGGAGUGCUUCUCUUUUUUCUCCAUCCUCAUUUUGGGGAAUGAGAUGAGAAAGCUGUUGGACCAUAAAAUAACCUAAUAUUUCCCAAAAUUAAUAAAAUCAAGAAAAUAAAGAAGCUGUUGGAGAUGCUUUAACAUUGGACUCAACUUGAAGACAAAGAAUAAUAGAAUGAAUUAUCAUUGUCCGACCAACCCCACCUCCUGUAAGUCUCUUCCUUUCGCCUCCACGUCGUCUUCUUCUUCCCAGAUAAUGGGGCCAUGGCAUGCACAAAGGUCAAAUCAUAAUUGUUGGACCUCAGCCACAAGUCCCCUGAACGAUUCAGGGCACCUCUCAUCACAAUAUGAGGAGGAUGCCAUUUCAUCAACAAAGUGAUACACGACUGGGGCAUGCCCAAUUCUCUCAGAAGUCCAAUAUUAGGCAUCAUAGUCUUGAAUAGAUUAAGCUGAUGAGCAUAUUCGAAGCCCUUACAGAAAUGUAAACCGUAGAAAUUGACACUACUACACAGUAGGCUUAAUAUGAGAGAGAUUGCUUCAGAGGUGAGCACAAAACGCCGGCGUUUAAUUAGUAGGUGCUAGGUUGAUUGUGGAUUCAUGAAAAUGGUGGUGAUGGUUUGGAAGUUUAGAACAGAGGCCGGGCCGCCAGGGUACUGGGUGGGUCACCGCCUCUGUUUUCUCAAAUUUUCAGAAAUCAGGAUUAAAAGAAAAAAUAUAAAACAAAAUAAUUUUUAUAGGCUAGGAGGACACAUGUUACGUCUAGGCGGUUACAUGUGACAUAUGCCAAAAGGCUGAGAGGGAUCCAUUAUCACAAGUAUUCAGAAAUCUCAUCCAAGGUAAAAAGAAAAUGUAUAAACAAAAUAAUUUAUGUGGUCUAAGCGGACACAUGUUGCGUCUAGGUGGAUACAUGUUAUCACAAGUAUUCAGAAAUCUCAUCCAAGGUAAAAAGAAAAUGUAUAAACUGAUGAAGAAUAAAGUGUAGAGACAAAGAGAUAGCGAGAGAGUCAUCUUAUUCAUUGAUAGGAGCCCUUUAUAUAGGGAAUUACACAAUACCAAUAUGGUAAGGAUAUGAAUACAUAGAUCUAGUCUAACUACAUAUCCUAUUGGCAUAAGGCCAAGGCACACAUAGAGAAUAUCCUAGAACACUCCCCCUUGUGCCGCGCGCUGAUAUGCCGAUGGUGCUGAUCUGUUGCCUCGUCAAAAACCUCGUCAAGUCACAAAAACCCUGUGGGAGAAAAACUGAACCUUGAUCGUAGGAGAAAAAGAGUACAACGCACCCUUCACAUUUGAUAGUGACAUUUAUGUAUGUGCUAGACUCCCCCUGAAGUUCGCACCUCCCCCUGAUCUUUACAUCAAUCAUAAGGCUCUUCCUGAUUCUUACUAAUCACGGAAGUUUCAACAACUUAGCAUGUCAAUGCUUUUUAACAUGUCUUCAAAUGUGGUAUUGGGCAAUGAUUAACUAAAUCAUGCCGUAUUGUCCUCAAAUGAUCUUUUACACUUAGAUCUUGAGGAGAAGGUUUGCUUGUGAACUCAAAACAUAAGUUAGUGCAGGAAAUCAGAUUUCCGCGCAGCAUGACCUUCAAUUACUAGAACAGUCGUAACUUUCUCUAGGAAAUACAUAUGAACGAACCGUAAACGGUUUUGGAAACUAGACUCAUUUAGCUUUCCAACCGUAUAUUACACACGUUCUGGUUCCUCAGGAGCUANNNNNNNNNNNNNNNNNNNNGCCAUUACAUUGGCGUUGCGUGGGCGUAUAGCUACACUUAGCUUUACAACUUUUCAUAGCGAAUGAGAUGUCAAGUCUUUUGUAUUGUGUUGAGUACAUUGAUGCGUCUUUUUGUACUUAGAUGGGAACUCCAUCUCUUAACACAUAUUUGUCAUCUUGCUUUAGACAAAACAACGGAUCUCUCUUUAGAGCAAAGACCUUGACUAAUCAUGGUAGUAUAUGUAGGCCUCACUAGUUAUAGAGCGCCUAAGCCGAUUGAUCAUCAAUACAGUCAUCGAGUGCCUUAUCGAGACUGUGUCUUCCCAAGAUCUUUUUCUUCGGAUGUUGAUACAUAUUGGCAUCUCUUGAUCCAUCAGGAGUCCAUGUAAAUCCGGAAUGAACACGCAAAGGCAUAAUUCACCAUAUCCCUUCCAAAUCAAGUAGAGUUCAUGUGCGUUUCAAUACAUUUAGCAAACGCAUGCUCCUGUGGUUUAGCAAACGCAUGCUCCUGUGAUUGAAAGAAGCUACGAAAAGCUGCAAUCCCGAGAAUGCAUAAAAAUUUCCGCGCAGAAUGACCUUUGCGCACUAAAACAGCCAUAACUUCUUCGUUAAAAUAGAUAUGGACGAACCGUGAAAAGUUCUGAAAACUAGACUCGUAGAGCUUUCCAAUGAUAUAAAGCUCACUGUCUGGUUCGUCCGGAGCUGUUCAAAAAGCUCAAACGAAGUUGACUGUCCAGAAGGGACAGAUUGCUGUUUUUCGCAGAUUUGGCAUGUGCGAAGCUGUGAAGCUUGCAGGUGGCGUGUAGGCUUUUGCCUUAGCCAAAAGUGACGUGUGUAUGAUCAAAACCAAGUCCUUUCGGUCCUUCUAAGGUCGUAAACUCCAUGACUAGUUAGCAAAAGCUCCCUGACAUGAACAUAAACUAACUCAGAGGACCUAGAGGAUCCGAUCAUGAUGAUAAUUUUCCAGCUUUGAUAAGUCUUCAACGUCUUUUGCAAGACGGCAAUUGGUUUAAUAGCGUAGGGGGAUCCAAAAUCAAAAGCUUUCGGUAACUCCAAGUCAGUAUGACCAGGCAUGUCCGUGGAGGGUCGGUAGUGCGAGGCACACUUAAAACCACUAUCUCCUUAAUUUCAGACAAUUCUAAGACAUCACACUGAGCUUGGAUGAGCCUAGUUGAACAAUUGAUGAUGAAAAAUCCGCUAUAGGUAGAAGACUUAACCGGAAACACGUGGGCGAUCCUCCUUGAGGAUGCAGUGCCAAGNNNNNNNNNNNNNNNNNNNNGCUAAAGAUUAUGGAUCAUGAUGCCACAAAAGAUCAUCGACAAUAUGUAGUCAAUUAAGGUGGUAAGCAAUCCACUUGACUAAUAACUCAACAAGUAGAGUUAUAUGAACGUUUCGAGAAAUGCUCUAUGAGUGCAUUCCACAGUACUUUGUGGUCAUUACUUUUUGCACAGGUUGCCAUUGAAGGUUUUUGUCGAUGUGGCGCUUCAAAAACUUUGAGCGCAUGAGAUGUGAAAUCUCGGCAUCUAGGCUUGUUAGCCUAGGGGUCAAAACAUGUGGUUUAAUCCUUUCCAAUGAAAGGUUCCACAGAUACCAAGCGAAGAUCCGCCUUAGGCAUCUAGUACGUCAAAACUCAAAGGAGCAGAAUGUUACAUUGCUCUUGCAUACAAAACCAAGCUGUUAUGAGACUCGAUAGAGGUCACAAACGAUGCUUUUAAUGGUUUGUCCUUCGGAUUGAUCAUACACAGUCCGGAAAAGCCGCGAAUUGAUCAAACGCAAUUCGGAAAAAGGCCUCGGAUUGAUCAAACACAAUCCGGUGACAGGUCGGGGUUGAUCAAACACAACCCGGACAAAGAAACAAGAGUGAUCCAACAUACUCUUCACCCGCGAAUAAAAUUCCGGGAUUUUUGGUACCUACACACACAAAAUCCCAAGCAUAGAAUGGAGAUGGAGAAGGGAGGAAAGGAUUUUAUCCUCCCCGAGUUAUUAAACUUGGAAAAGUUUAAGGUUUCAAAAACAUACCUUUCUAGAGGCUGCCGAGAGAAGAAAUAACGUUUCGCCUACUUAUACUUCGAAUUUGGGGCUGAAAAUUUGAUAGGAGGAGCAGCUCUGGAUGGGGAAGCUGCUGUCAAAAUUUCAGGUUGAUCGGAGCAAGGGAAGGUGGUGAACCGGUGGUCGGUAGCGGAGGCGGUCUGGAAUCUUCCGGCGGCCGUUUCGGAGACUUUCCGGCCGGUUCUCAGGGUGAGACUGGCGGCGUUGGAUCCGGGACGGAGAGAGCUUUCUGGGGAUAUAAAAUUCUGGUGGAGAACAGUUGGAAUUUUGGUCGGAAAUCGGGAAAAACAAGGCUGCCCGAUUUUAGGGUUUUGGUUUUUAGGGUUUAGAAAAAAAAAUGGUGGGCUAUUGGCUCUAGGGUUAGAACAAAGUGCAUGAUAACGAGAUGAAGAAUAAAGUGUAGAGACAAAGAGAUAGCAAGAGAGUCAUCUUAUUCAUUGAUAGGAGCCCUUUAUAUAGGGAAUUACAUAAUACCAAUAUGGUAAGGAUAUGAAUACAUAGAUCUAGUCUAACUACAUAUCCUAUUGGCAUAAGGCCAAGGCACACAUAGAGAAUAUCCUAGAACAUAAACAAAAUAAUUUAUGUGGGCUAGACGGACACAUGCUGCGUCUAGGCGGAUACAUGUGGUAUGGGCCCAAAGGCUGCGGUCUAUUAAUAAUAAAUCGAUGAAAGCAGAGUGCAAAGACUCAAAAUGAACCAAAUUUUAGUUAGUAACGUUCUAGUAUGUGUGGAGGGAAGCCAAUUUCUUGGCAGAUAAAUUAACUAAUUUAGGCCAUCUUGUUUCAGAUUCUAUGGCUUGGUUGUAUCAGUUACCUCCUCAGCACAACCUGCUUUUCAGUUUGAUAUGUUAGGCUCUGGCUGUGCUAGAGGUUUCCUUGUAAUGUGUUUUUCUCAAUUAAAAAAAAAAAAGAAGACUCAAAAUAAAGAACUGAAGUGUACCUAAGCACUUGAGCAAAUAUUCCUCAUGACUUGAGCUUCUUUCGGCUUCGUCGUGAUGAGUUUCUACCAGUCCUUUUAACAUUCUCUUUCUCCUCGAUCCAAAUUAGACUCUCUUCAUAUUCAACAAUGGCAAACCUGCUUCCCUCAAUCAUAUACAGAUUACAGGCCAAGCUUAUCUUUUUCUUUACGAUCCAUCCUCAUGAACCAAAUCCCCUUGCCAUAGCAAACCAACCGCACGGUGAUCACUCAAGCAAUGGCUGCACAGGCAAGUUGGAAAGAUCCAGGUUAAAAACCUUAGUCCAAGAAUCACUCACGUCAUAUUCUCUCAUCGCCAAAAAAUCAACAGUCACAAGUAAUAGCCUCAUCUGUAUAACUCGCCGCACAGAGGCACCCUCCAACAACCCCAAGGUGGCACCCUCAUCCGUAUACAAACUUCUACCAAUCUGUAUGGCGAAACUAGUGCUGGUGGUGGAGACGAUAGGCUUCAAGUUUAAGGAUUCGGCUUUUCAGAUGACACUUAUCAUCUGUAUGUGACUUUGGAAUUGGGAGAUCACUCUCAUAGAAUGUCUACGUUGAACUUAUAAUAUUCCCUGCAAAAAUAACCUUAUUUGCAUUUGAUCUCAUUCUCUUCAUAUUACAUGUAUACUAAUCCAAACCAACCUGCAUUACAAAUGGUAAUUUGGUACCUAUCAAUGUCACCAUUACGAGAAGUUGAAGACUACAAUUUUUCUUUAACUGUUCAGCUUUCCCAUAAUCAAACAUUCAAUGCUUGUGAUGAUCGAGCUUGACCGGUGUAGGGAACGCACUUGGAUACAGAGAGAACGUAUAUUGAUGCAGUGAGAAGUUAGAAGGUAAUCUUUUUUCUUAUUUUAGUUCAUUGUUUGAUGUCUUGUGGCUCAAGGAACUCAACUGGAGUUGACUACAAGGGAUUCAUAAAUGAAAAAAGAAAAAAAAAAUUACUCGUUUUGACCAAAUUGUUAGUUACCACCCUUGAUUGGUUUUCACGGAGAGUUGAUACCAAUAAGUUUCAAAAUAAGCCACUGUUAAAUCGUCAAAACAAGGUCACAAAUAUCCUUCAGCCUUAUGUAUAGGCACUACCAGAGUUGAAAAGAAAUGUCACAAUGAGGAAAAUCAAUUGCUUUAUAAGCUGGAAGUCAGGAACUGUAUGAACCUCAAAUCUCAAUCACUCUUUUCAGUACUGUCAAAUUAAUGUUGAAAAUUUCAAUAUUACAAUUGAAAAGUAGUUUAGGAAUGGACUCCGUUAUGAUCAGCUGGUUCCCAAAUUCUGUAAUCUUUACAAGAAUUCCUUACAGUUCUAUUGUUUCUUCCCCUACUGUAACUGCGAAAACAUAAGAAAGAACAACCAAAACAAAAAUAUUAACAUUGAAACUAGAAGUUCCUAAGAGCAACUUGUGUGUCUUGACAAAAAAAUUAUAUGAUCUUUUCAUCCCACACUGCCCUGGCAUAUAAAAUUGCUGUAUCAUAGACAACUCCUUUAGUUACACUGCAACAAUGACAUCUUCAGUUUCGAAAAUAUAAUCAAUUCAAAAACGAUUUUUUGGUUCAAAUUUUUUUCCUACUCCCCCCCUUUAAAACAUGCUCUAUUUGUGCUUAACUUAUAUUUAAUAGUGAUACAGUAUGUACAUACCAGAAGAAAAUAAAACAAAAACAAAACAAAAGGAACCAAAUAAAAUAAAGGGCAGUUGCAACUUACAUACUCCAUUUAUCGCUUCAAAAACACCGCUGACAAGAUUGCUCAUUCUUUCAAUCACUUCACCAGUUUCAAGAUCAGCUUCAAGCUCUAGUUGGCAGGCCAUGGUUACGAUGGAGGCAUCAGAUAGGUGUCCCCGAGACCCAUCAGGUAUUAUGGAAAAACCAAAAGGUCUCAAGGAACAAGAUAGUUGCCCAAAUCCUAAAGCACUAUUGACUUCUGAUUGGUCGAUCUGUGAUGAUAUAAUGAAAGAGCAAAACUCAUCUUUGGAAGCCUCUUGUAACACAUAUUCAAAAUUCUGUCACAUUUAAAAGAUUUCAGAUAAGUCAGUCAAGAUAUAGCACCAACAUGAAACAGUUAAUUAAAGCAUAUAUCACCUCUGUAGACUCGGUUUGCAUAACUCGUUCUGUAGACUCGUUUUGAUUCACUCUCUUUGCAUGUAUAGUAAUACAGUUGCUGUGAUCAUCCGUGACUAAAUUUAUCACUUCUUCAGGCUCUGCCAUCUCUUCUAAACAUGGCCACUACCAUACACAAAAGUGUUAACAGUUUCAUACUAAAGUGAUUCAAAAUAACUUGACACAACAUUUAAUAUAGCAAAGUUAUAAGGUUGAACCAUAUAUACCUGUAAUUGUCGAUUCCUUUUGACAAGAAAGUUGAAAACGGAGAGUGGUGUUGCUUCAACUCUGGAGGUAGUCACUGCCAUGUAAUUAUUUCUUUGUGCAUCAGUAUCCUUUAAAAUCUUGAUUCCUGUAUCUGAUAAUAAAUCCCAUUUAUUUUCAUCUGGAUGCUCAGCUAUGUAGCUCAAAAAUACCAUCUUCAAUCUUCUAGCCAAUGUCAGCAGAGCAUGACGAACCGAAAAUGCUAUAUUUUAUUCAAACAGAAACACACAAUAAGAAAUCACAACAUAUUUAAAUCAAACAAAUAAAUAGGAUUUAAAAUCCUCAAGAACAUCUUGAGACAACUGCUAAUAAAAACAACAUAGAUGACACAUUUGUAUCAAGUGUGCAUUUAUGGACCUACUACAACCAUGGUUAGCGAUCAUACACAAAAAUAUAAAAACAUUUACAUGGAUAAGACAUUACCAUGGUUCAUAAUAGGCAAUUUAACAGUGACAAAUUUACUUUGGAUCCGCUUUUCUUUGGUUAGUAGCAUACUAAUCCAGUGCUUUGCAUCGAAUGCCAGGUUUGAAUUGACACCAGAGUAUAUACUAUCUUCAACAUUGUAGUUAUGUAUUUCCAUAUUCUCAAUCCAUAUAACCUGCAUGGAUAGAGCAAUUCAAAAGUUGGAUCAAAAGUUCCAUACGACCACUACAAGAUUUUACAAUUGGAAUCUUUUGCAGAUAAUAUAUACCUCAGAAUGGUCAUCACGCCUCCUAACAAUGACCCCAGAAGGCCUUCUCUUACAGUUGACAUUCAAUGUAGAACUUAAAUGCGGAAAAUAGUCAGUCGAUACAUCAACAACAGCCCAUACAUCUGGUAUGACUUCACGCAAAAACCUAAUGAAACUGAAUUUACGUGUUGGCGCACAUGGCAUUGGCAAGAGAAGUUCAGCAUUUAUCUGGCCGAUAUAAACCAUAUAUUAGAUUAGUGUCAUUACACAUUAUAUAUAAUCAGAUUCAUAGACCUCACUAGCAUAUAGGUUAGAGCACUACAGUAACAAAACACCAGUAAACAUAUGCGAUAGUGUUUACCGUUUUUACACACUUGAAAUUGUCCCUGUUAUGUGGUGGUGUAUUAGGCGCUAAAUUACUCAUAACACCAGAUGACACUUCAGCAGUUCUGUUAUGAACGAUAUUGCAAAAAACUGAAGCCCAUUCGUCCUGGAAAUAAUGACACAAAACAAACACACCUAAAAUUAAAGCGAGAAUCGAAGAAAUAGCAAACCUAAACUGCAAUUCCAUAGACGAAAUUUAAACAAAAACCGAAGAAAAUAAUAAAAGAAAUAUCACACACCACAUUUGUCAUGGUAGUAACCACAUUAUCUAGCCUCAAUGGAACAAUGCCGCUCUCAAUGGAAUACUCAAUCUCCAUCCCAGGCGAUGGCGGCUCCCUAAACAUAUGGUGGAGUUUCUCAAUUGAACCGAGUACUGGAAUAUCCACAACCCAAGUGUUUGCCUUCAAAGCCAAAGUCAUGAUCUCUUUGUAAGCUGCCAUGCAUAUGUUAUAGCACUCUUGCAUUUCUAGGAACUUGGGCACUCCUUCCUUCACCACUCCAUUUGAAGACGACAACGCCUCAUCAAACUUGACAAUGACAACACAUUUCAAUCCAUAAAACAUAUCAAGACUAAUCAAAAAUCAAGAACUCCAAAAUCAAACACCAAGAAAUUGAAAUCUAAUUUCAAUGAAGAAGAAAAAGUAACUUGAAAUUCGAGUGCAAGAAUGAGUACUUAGGCCUUAAGAAAAUAAUUACACAAAGGAAAAAAUUAUGAGAAAGUGAAAAGAGUGAUACCUCCUUAGCUUCUACUCCCAUAUUGAGGUUUGUAGCAGUUGAAUUUUUCAGACCUAAGUAUGACUAUAUGGACCUGCAAAAUCUAUACAGUCUUCAUAGGAAUUUUUGGAACCCAGAUUUCUUUAACACCUCCAUAGAACAUAUAUAAUUCGAAUUAAGAACAAUGGUUUAAGAUAGAUCAAGAGAGAAUUUGAAAUAUAGUUUCGACUCUCACCCGAUUAAGCCUGUUCUUGAGUGCGGAUACCUCAUAAAUCGAAAGGCUUGUUGAGUAGAGACGAGAAGGGUUUGACUCUUGGUCAGAAUCAGAGAGAAAACCUAGUGAUACCCUGAGACCUUUCGGGUGCUCGUUUGCCGUUUAUAUAGGUUUGGCAAUCAGUAAGGCAUGUGCGAUGCACGUGAUUGGGAUAUUCAUUAUUUAAUGGGAAAAGGAAAAGAAAAUCUAGGAUUUUACUAAGAAGAGUCCUAGUUUGAGAGUAAAACCGUAAAACUCCCAGUAAAGUCCUAGUUUGGCUUCCUCUGUACAAAAUUGGAUACGAAAUUUUACUAGGAAGAAAUAAUUGAUAAAGUUGUCUUCCAAUUUGUAAAGUUUUGUUUCUUCGAUUAUGUUUAAAUUGAAGCAUGAAUACACACCGUGAAUUGAAUAAAAUACAAUAAAAAUUGUAAUUGUUCUAGGAUAUUCUGUAUCUUUCUAGAUAUUCUUUAUGUGUGUCUUGGCCUUAUGCCAAUAAGAUAUGUAGUUAGACUAGACUUUUGUAUUCAUAUCCUUACCAUAUUGGUAUUAUGUAAUUCCCUAUAUAAAGAGCUCAUAUCAAUGAAUAAGAUGAUGAUUCUCUUGCUAUCUCUUUGUCUCUACACUUUAUCCUUCAUCACGUUAUCAUGCACUUUGUUCUAACCCUAGAGCCAAUAGCCCACCAUUUUUUUUCCAAACCCUAAAAACCAAAACCGGAGGUUCUCGGCCCUGCCUCGGCCACCGCCGCCGCCGUCGCUUCUCGGCCGUUUGCUCCGCUGCUUUCUUUUCAUCCGAUCAAGCAUCCAAGUGUUUACGGUAUGUUUAUUUUACAACCUUAAAACUCUUCCAAGUUCAAUAACCUCGAGGGAGAUAAAAUGCUUCCUCCCCUUCGUCUACUUGAUAGGAGCAUAAAAUGCGACGAUUUUAUAAUUUAACCUUUGCAUUUAACUUGGCUAUUUUCCUUUAAAAAGAUCGUUUUAACUUUGUUAUCUUCUUAGGUACUUCGUGGAGCAGGAUAAUGCAAAUAUGUGCUCAAGUGAUGCAAGCAAAGCUUCCAAUACGAAAUAGAGAUGUCAAGGAUGGAGAUUGAUCACUCACAUGGUCAAAAAUAUCAAGGAAAGACGAUGGAACCACUUCACCAAAACAGAAGCUGCAAACACAAAAAGCUGAAAAAUGGUUUCUGCUUAUUUUCUCCGGUUUUCAAGGCUUAUUUCCAUGCGGUUUCGAGAAUGGUUUCACCAAGAUGACUGCCCAGAUUUGUAGAGGAGCAUUUGUAGAUCAAUUUGGACUCAAGAAUCAUCCAAAUCGGUGAUUUCAUCUGGGAGUUAUGAAGCUCCAAAGUUGGACAGAAAAUCAGCAGUUCCGGGAAAGCUGUGCAGUAGUCAAGUUCCAGGCAGUGUUUGGGCUGGUUUCUGAGAAUCUUUCUUGGGGGUUUUUGCACGAAUUUGAAGAGUGACAUCAUUAAUAUAAUUUUCCCAAAAGCCAAGCCCAGAUUAUAUGUGGAAGACAUUCAAAAGAUGGCCCAAACAUUGAUUCUAGUCAAAGAAUGAAACAUAGUCUGAAAAAGAAUCUUUGAAGACUUGGAGACUACUUAAAGCAAAACCUUAAUACUAGAACGACUGGAAGCCGUCAUACUGCAAGAGAGCCUUCACGUUGCUGCAUCGCACAAGAAUCCAUCAAGGGGAAGUCGCCAAGAUCAUCGUCAACUCCUUCCAUUCACAGUUUUCUUCUUCCCUUUGUAAUCUUUAACUUUCGAAUAUGAUUUAUUUUCUCUGUGCGAUUUCUACAAUGAUGUGUGGCUAGUUUAUCUUAGUUAGGGGUGGAGGUUUGAAGCCCCGAAUUAUGCAAUAAACUUUGUUUCACAACCUUGAUUUCGUAAUUACUUAGUUGGAUUGUCUGUUUGGUUUUGAUUUAUAGAGAACUCUUGCUUGUUUAUGUUCAUGGAUGCAUACAUAGAACAUUAUGAACUUGUGAGUGGGGCUAGAAUUAGGUUGUUUAAUCUCCUAAACGGUUAAUACGGCUUAAUUCAAGGUAGUAAACCUAUAGGACAAUAGGUGAAACCAAAUAGAGAGACUUGCAUGCUAGGUAGGCGUUCCACACUAGUUUUGCAUACUUGUUCAAUCACUUCCAUUGAUCUUAAUGCUUAGAAUAAUUUAUUGAUAGGAUAGCGUCUAUACCUUGAUUGGUUAUUCUAAAGGCUUAGUAAUGGUGCGUUCAUCUUGCAUAAGUAGUAAGAAUUUACGCAGUGCGUUCACGGUUUAUUCUUGAUUGAACCUUUUCAUAACUUGGUAGUUGGAAUCUUGGUUGUGUGGACUUUGUUUUGAAGCAUGUUCGGUGGUGAAUUUCCUAAACCCCUAACCUCUUCUCUGUCUUGUUUCUCAAACUACAAAUCAAAACUGUUUUCUUAUUCUUUUGUCUUCUGUAUUUCGUGAUUUAUUUAGUAUAGUAAACAAACUCCAAAUCCCCUGAAAUUUUGUUUGCGUGUUCUUCUCUGUGUCUAGUGUAGUUUUAUAAAUUUUCAUAAUUUUCUGAGUAGUGUAGAUUAGGUAGUUUAAUUAUAUUUUAGUCUGCUGUUCGUCAGGAACAGUAGACACUUUUGUGACAUUGUUUUUGUGUGUGAAAUUUAAAUACCCUCAAUCUCUGGCAAUGAAUGAUCCUUGCUUCUUUAUACUACAAUCGACAAUCUUUUGCAGGGUUAAAUUGUGAGGCUAUUUUAGCCGUACCACUACUCCAUUCUAUGCUUGGGUCGCGGUGUAUUUGCAUGUACCAAAAAUCCCGGAAUUUUAUUCGCGGGUCAAGAGUGUGUUUGAUCACUCUUGUUUCCUUGUCCGGGUUGUGUAUGAUCAACCUCGACUUAUCACCGGAUUGUGUUUGAUCAAUCCGAGGCCUUUUUCAAAUUGUGUUUGAUCAAUUCGCUGCUUUUCCGGAUUGUGUAUGAUCAAUCUGAAGGACAAACCAUUAAAAGUAUCGUUUGUGACCUCUAUCGAGUCUCAUAACAACUUGGUUUUGAAUGCAAGAGCAACGUAAAAUUCUGCUCAUUUGAGUUUUUACAUCGUCCUUAGAAGCAUGACAUAUUUACAAUCUACAUGGUUAGAUUGUGCCGUUUUGGUCUCUUCCAAGUGAAGAUGACGCCCAGCCUUGCAUCCUCAAGGAGGUUCGCCCACGUGUUUCCGGUUAAGUCUUCUACCCUAUAGCGAAUUUUCCAUCAUCAAUUGUUCAACUAGGCUCAUCCAAGCUCAGUGUGAUGUCUUAGAAUUGUCCGAAAUUAAGGAUAUAGUGGUUUCAAGUGUGCCUCGCACUAUCGACCCUCCACGGACAUGCCUGGUCAUACUGAUUUGGAGUUACCGAAAGCUUUUGAUUUUGGAUCCCCCUAGCUAUUAACCAAUUGUCGUCUUGCAAAAGACGUUGAAGACUUAUCAAAACCGGAAAAUUAUCAUCAUGAUCGAAUCCUCUAGGUCCUCUGAGUUAGUUUAUGUUUAUGUCAGGGAGCUUUUGCUAACUAGUCAUGGAGUUUACGACCUUAGAACGACCGAAAAGACUUGGUUUUGAUCAUACACACGUCACUUUUGGCUAAGAAAAAAGCCUACACGCCACCUGCAAGCUUUAUAGCUUCGCACAUGCCAAUUCUGCGAAAAACAGCAAUCCGUCCCUUCUGGACAGUCAACUUCGUUUGAGCUUUGUGAAUAGCUCCGGACGAACCAGACAGUGAGCUUUAUAUCAGUGGAAAGCUCUACGAGUCUAGUUUUCAGAACUUUUCGCGGUUCGUCCAGACCUAUUUUAGCAAAGAAGUUAUGGCUGUUUUAGUGUACAAAGGUCAUUCUGUGCGAAAAUUUUUAUGCACUCUCGGGAUUGCAGUUUUUCGUAGCUUCUUUCGAUCCUUCUAAAUGGUUCAAGUGGAACUAUUAACUCACCUAUCUACUCCUUCUUGUAGAUAUGUCUCAUUGAGACAUUGAGUGCUUCGCAUAUAGUGGAACUAUCCACAACAUUCUAAGGAACCGGCAGCUAUCUUUGGAUUUUGUGCCUUUGUAAAUCUUCUGUGACUAUAAUGAUUGAAUCAUACCGGUCAUUCAGGGACACGGUUUAGCUUGAAUCUUGAUGCCUCAUGGCACCAUGAUCAAUGUCAUAGAUACCCUCUAUACAUUGAGAGGCAAUCAAACCAUAUUGAGCUUUAAAGACAUUCUUGUUAAUAGUUUUCAUUUGAAAACACAUUGUGAGAAUGAACAAUAAUUCUUUUGUGUAUACCUUCUCAUGAAUGCGGACUGAAGCGCAUCUUGGAGAAAUUCAUGAGUCAAUCUAGUGGACUGUAUGUCACUACGAUUCGAAUAUCGAAUCUCAUGUUGUCGCCAAACAUGAUAUUUGGGACACUGACUCAUAUAGACUUUGGUUUUGACCAAUUAAGGUAAUCCUGGAAGAGAUAUAAUGGUUCAAAUUUUAAGAAAUUCUCAUGGACAUCCAUUCUUCCGCUCAAAACGAAGACAUUCGAGAUCUAGCAUCAACAUGAAGAAUGGUGGUGACCCGGGGGACAUUGAUGUCUCCCGAACACGACUCCAACUUAUUGGAGGUCGUCCAGUCAAUUCCUCAAGCAAUUGAGGUGCACCGGCCUUCCUUCGAUGUCGCAUUAGCCCCCUGCAAUGCUGAUUGCUCGUUUUGAAAGCUUAUUCUUUAGCUAAAUUAGGAGUGAGACCCUCCUACACUAAAUAACACAAAAGUGAACAUUCUAUUCUUACAUCAAACUAUGUAGAUAGAUACAAUCAAUUUGCAGACACCUUUUUAUGCUUUAUGGUGUUGGUUGAAGUGUUAACACACUGGUCACGUGUUACACUAUUAUCUACUGCUUAUGUUGUUUAUACUUCUACGAGCUCACUACCCAUUCUUUAAAGAAGUUUAUCGGGAUGUAAGUUGAAGUGUCUUGUACCCCAUGUUCACACGCAAUACAGUCUCACCGAGGCUACGACCAAACAACUUUAGCUUGUCGCUCGAACAUUAUUGAUGCACACCAAUCUUUCUAUUGCGUCUUGGGGAUAUGCAAUAUUUGCAUGCAGCUUUACUAUUCAUCUACGACCCACCAUCAUUGAAUAUUUUUGUACUACAGCUCGUGACUGUGUACCAUGAUUGCAAUCCUUGAGCUCAAACAAGAUUGAAACGGAUCUCUAAUCCUUGAGCUCGGCUAAAUGUUAUUUCUAGGUGCCAAAUCGCAUUGUCACUACGUACAAUGAUGAGUCAUUUGAGAUGAAGAAGUAUUUAGGUUGGAUAUGAACCUCCACCUAUAAAUCCGCAUAUGUAGAAACCUUGUCAGACAAUUUCAUUCACCGUUAAAUUGCGGAUUGUCACUUUGAUGAGACAAUAUUCCCACUGUUAGGGGGAGAUAAGAACACAAGUGUUCAAGUGGAACGACGUGAAUUGUCGUGGUUUGUCCCCACUAAGUCUCAUUUUGAUCCUAAAUGCUUAAAGUGUUAGAUGAGACAAUAUUCCCGCCGUUAGGGGGAGAUAAGAACACAAGUGUUCAAGUGGAACGACGUGAAUUGUCGUGGUUUGUCCCCACUAAGUCUCAUCUUGAUCCCAAAUGCUUAAAGUGUUAAAGUGACGAGAUCACAUGCUGCAAAUAUGUCUGCAAGGAUUGAUGUCUUAUCAAGAGGACAUGGCGCGACCAAAAGGAGUUGGUCUUGACGCCAUCAACAUAGAUGGUGAUAUAGUGACGCCAUAUAGUGGCAAAAUUGGUGUCACAGGGCCGUGUGGCUCCCCAAAAGGAGGGAGACCCUUAGGUUCGAUACUUUCUCGCACUAGGAAGAAAGCAAGCUUGGCACAACUUGAUCUAUUGAUCAGUGAUACUCAAAUCCGUCUCAUGAAGUCUGAAUUGUGAUUAUCGUUGGGAGACGCCUCAAUGUCAAAUCCAAUCUAUAUAGAGAUCUCUACAAGUAUUACACUAGUGUACAUGAGGACGUGAGAUAAUGAGUCUACUAUCGAACCACCUUUUGUUGAUGAAUAUCAACUUAGUUGAUUGGCCUAAUGGAAAGAUGCGAUCCAGCAUUAACAAAGAGAUAGGUCCUUGGGCAGGUGAUGCCGACACCGCAAGCUAAACCCUAUCAACUAUGUCUUUGUUAGAUAGCGUAGUGAAAACAAGAGCUUAGACUCACCUUAUGGCGCAAGGUCUCUCACUAACACGCACUGAGAUCAACUACGAUGAGAUAUGCUCUCGUAAUGGAUGUCAUUGAACUCCACUACUUUGUCAAUUUGGUAGAUUCCGAAUAACUGAACAUGCAGCAUAUGAAUGUGGUCAUAAUAACAUCUCUAUGGGAUCAGAGAUAUACAUGAAGAUCUUAAACGAACUUCAUUUAUCCGAAUCAAGUGGCUCUAAACCACAAGAGCAUGCGUUUGCCAAAUGUAUUGAAACACACAUGGACUCUACUUGAUUUGGAAGGGAUAUGGGUGAAUUAUGUCUUUGUGUGUUUAUUUCGAAUUUACAUGGACUCUUAAUGGAUCAAGAGAUGCCAAUAUGUAUCAACAUCCGAAGAAAAAGAUUUUGGGAAGACACGGUCUCGAUAAGGCACUCGAUGACUGUAUUGAUGAUGAUUUUCCAUCAAUCGGCUUAGGCACUUUAUAACUAGUGAGGCCUACAUAUACUCUCAUGAUUAGUCAAGGUCUUUGUUCUAAAGAGAGAUCCGUUGUUUUGUCUAAAGCAAGAUGACAAAUAUGUGUUAAGAGAUGGAGUUCCUAUCUAAGUACAAUAAGACUCAUCAAUGUACUCAACACAAUACGAAAGACUUGACAUCUCAUUCGCUAUGAAAAGUUGUAAAGCUAAGUGUAGCUAUGCGCCCACGCAACGCCAAUGUAAUGGCAGUAACUCUUUUUUCAAUACUUAAUGGUAUGAAAGGUUGAGGCUUAUUCUAUCCCUACAUAAGAAAGACACAUCAAAAAAGAAAUCAGAAUCUGCCAAGUUUUGUAGGUCAACUUCCACGGGACCUAUAGGAAAUCUCACUCACUGGAAAAUGGUGAAAUUGGUACCAUUGGAAAGGUCUAUGUGUCUACUUUCCAGGGACACCAACCAUUUGAUCAUACCUAUCAUAUUGAGUGAGUUAUGACCGUUUUCAUAAAGUAGGACGAAUCUGUCCGAGAAUCUGAUUUUGGCAAAACAGUCAACUUUGACUGGACUUUGUGAACAGCUCCUGAUGAACCAGAAUGUGUGUAAUAUACGGUUGGAAAGCUAAACGAGUCUAGUUUCCAAAACCGUUUACGGUUCGUUCAUAUGUAUUUCCUAGAGGAAGUUAUGACUGUUCUAGUAACUGAAGGUCAUGCUGUGCGGAAAUCUGAUUUCCUGCACGAACUUAUGUUUUGAGUUCACAAGCGGCCUUCUCCUCAAGAUCUAAGUGUAAAAGAUCAUUUGAGGACGAUACGGCAUGAUUUAGUUAAUCAUUGCCUAAUGCCACAUUUGAAGAUAUGUUAAAAAGCAUUGACAUGCUAAGUUGUUGAAAUUUCCGUGAUUAGUAAGAAUGAGGAAGAAGAGCUCUAUGAUUAAUGUAAAGAUCAGGGGGAGGUGAGAACUUUAGGGGGAGUCUAGCACAUACAUACAUGUUACUAUCAAAUGUGAAGGGUGUGUUGUACUCUUUUUCUCCUACGAUUAAGGUUCAGUUUUUUUCCCAUAGGGUUUUUGUGACUUGACGAGGUUUUUAACGAGGCAACAAAUCAGCACCAUUGGCAUAUCAGCGCGCGGCACAAGGGGGAGUAUUCUAGGAUAUUCUGUAUCUUUCUAGAUAUUCUUUAUGUGUGUCUUGGCCUUAUGCCAAUAGGAUAUGUAGUUAGACUAGAUCUAUGUAUUCAUAUCCUUACCAUAUUGGUAUUAUAUAAUUCCUUAUAUAAAGGGCUCAUAUCAAUGAAUAAGAUGAUGAUUCUCUUGCUAUCUCUUUGUCUCUACAUUUUAUCCUUCAUCAGUAAUGAAUAUAAUUUCGUAUAUUCCCUAAUU